rnacentral:lncRNA from 1 species
ACAUGGGUACCUGCAUGCACCCCAGUUUUUCUAAUUCUGCCUGCAUAAUCCCCUCAACUGAAUUCUCAGGAUUUUAUUAUGGUUUCUACAAUUUGGACAAUAACUCUCUGCGUUGAUUUGUGUUAUUUGUCUAGAAAAAACUCACAUGCAGCUUAAUUUUUGUCGCAAUUCAAGAAAAGACCUAAUAGCCUUACCUUGAAAACUCUGUACUUUGCUAGUGAAUAUCUUGAAUGUCUUUUUUCUAAUCCAUGUUCAGUUUUGUUCUUGUGCAUGUUGUUUCAUUAUUCAGAUCACUCGAUGCACGUGUUCGUGUGUUUGUGCUGUCCUGUCUCAACCAGAAAUCACGUACAUAUGAAAUUUUAUAAUUAGUCUCAUCUUGAGCGUCUUAUUCUUCAGGAUUGGCUGGACAUUGAUUUUUGGAUUGCAGAAGGUGUUGAUUUUAUUGCUAUAUCAUUUGUCAAGUCAGCUGAAGUUAUAAAUCACCCUAAGAUCUAUAUUAAGGCACGAGCUCGUGAUGGGUGAGUUACAUGGAGUUUUUUACAAUAGUUUGUUUAUUGCGAAGGUGAAGUCAAGUCCCUUGGCCCUUUUAAUGCUUUAUAUUAUAUUUCAUGACAGUUUCUGGAUAGUGUUUUGUGUUGUUUCUGGAGUUUAAAGUUACUCCUUCGAAAAUAAUCCGACAGAAUCACCUGAAUAUAAGAAUUGAUUAACAUGAUCUAAACAGUAAUUCGAGCCCACAGAUUUCACGAUGUUUCCUUAAAAUGAAUUUGCUGCCUUCAAUGGUGCUAAAGGCGUCUAGCAAUCGUUUCUCAGGAUAGAACGAAUUUUCGUUUCCUUUGGAAGCAGCACUGCAAUCUGCAGGAGUUCCAACGAACUCAACGAAGUGUGUUUUACUUCGAAACAAUAUCAGAACGAGAGAGAGAGAAAUGAGAUUCAAAGCACAGAAUGUUUGCAAUGAAAAUGGUGUAAAUUUUCUGGUAGAGAGGCUGGCUAUUUAUAGACUUGUUUGUGGCCAUUCGAACAGUCAUCACCUUUCAGACAAGCCUCAAAAUUCCGAACAGACAUGCUGUUCUUAAAAGUCGUGUCUGUUAAGUCGGUUAACAGUCGGCUAACAGUCGACUGUUUGGUCGGUAAACAGUUGACUGUUAAAAGAAAAUAAAACACCCGGAAUAAGCCAAAAUUUAAAUUUCAUAUUGUACCCAAUAAUUUGAUUAUUUACAAUUUGGCCCAAAAUUUUAAAUAAAUUUUGUCCAAAAAGUUAAUAUAGUGUAGGUUUAUGACCGAACCCAAUAGAAUAUAGUCUUCCCCCUUCCAAAGACUAUUGGUACCCUUUGGGACCCAAACCCAAUUCCAAACUUCCACCUUAUAAACCACACCAAAGUUUCCUAACUUUCCUAUGUGGGAUAAAUGUUUGGAAAAUCAAAUUCUUCCAUAAUCCUUAGUUUAUGUGGGUUACUUUAACACUUAAUAUUUCAUUCAAUUUUAAAUGGUUUUCGAUAAAUAAAUAUAUCACGUUAAUCAUCUCGCGGAGUAGAACGUGAAUAUGCUAGGUCCCGUAUUAAUUAAAAGGUGGGUCCCACUGAAAUUUGGGCUCAAAGUUGACCCAUUUCAUAACCAUUUUUUCCAACAUUUUGUUCUUAGAUGUAACUUAUUGAUUAAACAUUGCUCAUCGCUUGUCAAAUGCAACAUAAUAUUUUUAAAUGUGGUAAAACAUGACCUCAUUUUCCGUUGGGACCAUGUGGACAAGAGAUACUAGUCCCACUCGUGCAUGCGUACACAAAUUCUGACACGUAUGAAUAGUGUGCUAGUUGACAAUACUCCGUACUAGGACAUGGGAGAUGCGUUAUAGCAACGAGACAAAUGUGUGUGUGUGUGUAUAUAUAUAUAUAUAUUUUGAUUGAUUGUAAAAUAAUAACCAAUCAUCAACACUUUCAAGGAAGCAAGAGAGAAAACAAACAAUAAUUUUAAGUGUGUUGAUUUGGGUUAGUCCCUCUAUGUUACAGUGGGGGGGGUAUCUAUAGCAUUAUAAACGAAAUUAUGGCCCUUAGAUGGAAAUACACAUGGCCUCAUCUCCUUAAUCCAAGCAUCUAAUCAUAGGGAUCCAUUUGGACCUACUAGCAUGUGGUAUACUCAAUGUUUACACAGAGCCGACAAGACUUGACAUUUAUACUUAUUACAAAUGUCUCAUCAAUUAUUUCUAAACGAUUUCGUACCUAAGCUCAACAUUUUCCUUGCUUGAGCCAUCAUUAGAUGAAGGAGUUCGACGCAAUUCAGGAUUUUCCUUGCACUGGUCGUCACUAGAUGAAGGGGUUCGAGGCUCUUCGCUUCAAACCUUCAACCUCAGUGGAAGGGGCAGGCCUCGGUUUGUUCUUUCUAGCCUCAUCUCGCGUGUGCGAAGCUUCGCUAAGUUGGUUCCAAUGCUUUAAGUGGGUCGGCUACUUCACCAAUGAGCCUUGGUUGUUGGCCAUAUAGAUAAGAGAGCCCUUGUGACGUAUCGCCACAUGUCGCCAAAUGUAGCGAGGCAUAACAAUGUCCUCCAAAACUGUGCAUAGUUUAUUUAUAUCAUGCGUGGACUUCAGUAAUAAGGCUUUCAUUAAUUUGUUUUGUGAAUAAAAUGGAAAUUAGUAACCACACACACAAUAGUCUCCCAGGUCCACGCAUAGAUAUUGAAAUCAUAAUUGGCGUUGGUAGUCCCAUUCUGAGAUGUGGCAGAGGCACCCGAAAUUGGUUUUGAGACAAAGCAGAUAAUUCGUGAACCGUCGAAGCUCGUUUAGUUUUAUCAUAGCUGAAAUUUAUUUCGAACCGAGGCAUAAAGAGUUGACCUGCUGAGGCUCCAUUAUUUGUAAAAUAGCUGAAAGUUAUUUCAAGUCGAGAUAGUAAGAUCUAAACCACUGAAGCUCCCGUAUUUACAAUGAUAGCCCUCAAAAUUGUUGCUAAUGAUUUGAUAUCUUUGCUCAUUACCAAGAAAAAGCAACGAAGCUACCACAAUUUCUCAUACACGUAUGGAAGUUAUUUUAAACAUACAAUGAUUGUGAUAUCUUCGUAAUCCUUGUCUGACACGUUAAGUCUGUGCGUGUGAUUCACACACUAAUCUUAUGCAUCCGUUUAAGAGAUUGUUUGAAUUUUAUGCCUCAAAUUUUGUUUAGAAUCAAAUGGCCCAGAUCAAAGGUGUUUUGAUCCAACGGUUGUCUCCUGUUUAGUAUAAAAGGUAAAAAAUGUCAUUUUUAUACUUUACUUUGUGAAAAUCUCCUACUCUCAGUUCUCCUUCUCAUAUAGGUAUUUUUCUAUCAGAUCCAUCGUUUGUAAUCUUCAUUUUUGUUAUCUUCAAUGGAUUCCGAGUCGAGUGCUAGUGAUAGAGCUCACUCGCUAGGUUCGACGAAGAAGGGUUACCCAAGAGUUUCAAGGUAGGUUAUUGGUCCAUGAGUGAGGGGCCAAUAGAUUAUGAUGUGGGUUGGGAACUUUUAACAUUUCUUCUACGAUGACUUUCGCAAAACUUGCCAACCUUAGGUAAAAAUACUAUAACCAACAUUAUAUAGAACUCCUUGUUGCCAAGGCCCAUGAACGUGCCUACUAUCCGAGAUGAGGAUGUGUGGCCAUUAGUGAAUUCUUGUUUAAAGUAGAAAUGUGUCUAUUGUUGUACCCCUUCCUUAGGGCAUUGCUUCGAUGCUUUAUGUUGGCUCCCACCCAACUUUUAAUAAAUGGGUAGAGCUAAUUGGUUGGGGUUUACUUUUUUUUGGAAGAAGGUUUUCCUCGGUGAGGACAUGCCUCCAAAUAGUUUUUCAACCCCAGGUUCUUAGGAAAGACGAGUCAAACGUGUGGUAUUACCUAACCCUAUAGCUCACGCUCUCUUCGUAGUGGGCCUUCUUUCCUCAAUCAAAGGAUGGAAGGAAUAUUUGUUCUGGGUAAAGAAGAGAUAGCAAAUGGUUGAGAGAGAUACAGUCCCAGCUUACACCGUACCAACCCAAUACUCCAAAGCUCGUGAGUGUUUUUAGUUACAUUUUGGUUUUUCCUUUUUGUUAAGCUAAAGUAACAUUUCAUUAUUGUUGUGUAGAUUCGGGGCCAUGCUUUGAGCUUCAUGAGGUAAAGUAGGAUAUAAUCGAGGACAUUUACAAAUGUUCUUUGAAGACACUUUGAUCAACUAAUCGAAUGCAAUCGAUACUUCAUUGACUUCGGCUUGAUCCAGGGGUAAGCAUUGAGCUUCGUCCGUCACUAAUAUUUAUCAUUUUGAUAUUAUCUAACCUUGGUGUUUUGUUGUUAACAAACAACUUUGGGAAGAAGAAGUAUCCUAUCUCUGACAUGGCUUGGAUCUUGAAGGCCAUCUCUACCACUGAAAGUCCUAAAGCUAUCUUUUGGGGAGGCGAGGCAUGUUAGGGGGAAGCUAGAGCUCCUCAAUGAGGAUUAUGUAGAGAAAGGCGCUGAGAAGGCACCUUCUAAAACCGAUAGGGGUAAGGAGGACAAGGAAAAAGGGGUAGCGAAGAAGCCAUAGAAGAAGAGAAAACUGUCCCACAGCAACUAUAGCUUCGACAAGUUCGAGACUAAUGUUGUUCACUGCACAAGCUGGUGGCGCUCUCCACUCCCAAACUCACAGAGGCCUCCACGAAAGCGACCAAAGGAAAGGAUAUGCAUAGGGCUAAUGAAGAGGCUAAGAAGGAGGAAAAGCGGGCCUAGGAGACCACAAAGAAAGCUCUGGUUGUGAGGAUCCUAAGAGAGUCUGAGAGAUUUUUGGCGGGAAAAAUGAAGUGAUAGCCCUACAGUUAUGGAGAUGCUAUCACCAGAGGACCUCAUUGCAGUCGUAUAUUUCUACUUGUGAUGUGGUGGACCUCAUUGCCAGAGGAAGAGCUUUUCCUAGACUGAACACUGUUGAGUUGAGAAUAGAAUAUUUGGAUGAAGUUCUUUAGACCCUGGCUAAAGAGGUAGCUAGAGGGGAAGCAAACUAAGAAGAGACUCUUAAGGAAGAAACUUCAACUCAAGCUGCAGCUGAAGCGUCUGCUGUAGAGGUAUCAGAGCCUUAGCCACCUUUUGCAUAGUUUAAGGUUUUUUUGCCUUUUGUAAUGACUGUGACCCUCCUCUUGUACUAAUAAGUUCUUAUCAAUGAAAUGAAUUUGUUUUACUUUGUGUUCAUUCUCUUACUGCAAGGCUUAGCUCUACAUUUAAUGAACCAUAAUAACUUUAAGUAAAGAGACUAUCUUAUUCCUUAGAUAAUGAGCUACUCUGUUAACAUAAUGUACCCAAGCGUUUCAAGUUCAUUCAAAUAAUUGAUUGAUUCAACUGAUAACAUACUGGCCCACUGGAACGUUUGGACAUAACUUAAGAAAGUGUAACUUGGGUUAAUAAUAGACUCACAAUUACGUCUCGGAGGAAUGAUAGGUAGUCCUUUUUUGCAUGGCGGGUGGUUUAUCCAUUUAAGAGAUUCUCAUUUGACAUUUUACUUCGUUAAGGCGAGGCAUGUGAUAUGUGGCUUGGAGUACAAACAAGGUGAUCCUCUUCUGAAAUCUGAUCAUCUCCUUUGAGGUGUCCGCGUUUCUUCAUAUGAUGGAUGGUUUGUCCAUAUAAAAGCUUCUCGCUUGACGUUCACAUUCGUCAAAAUGAGACAUGUGAUGUACACCUCGAAAUACAAACGAGGUGAUCCUUUUUGAGGUAUGAUCCUCUUUUUUGAGGCAUACACACUUCUUUACAUGAUGGAUGGUUCAUCCAUGUAAAGGCUUCUCUCUUGACAUUCAGUUUCGUCAAGACGAGGCAUGUGAUGUAUUUUUCAGAGUACAAAUGAAGUGAUCCUCUUUUGAGGUUUGUUCCUCUUUUUCGAGGCGACCACACUUCUUCAUAUGGUGGAUAGUUCAUCCAUGUAAAACCUUCUCACUUGACGUUUAUCAUCAUCAAUGCAAGGCAUGUGAUGUACGCCUCAAAGUACAAACGAGGCAAUCCUUUUUUGGUGUAUGAUCCUCUCCUUCGAGGCGCCCACGCUUUGAGCGAAGUAGAUCCCCUCUUAUGUUAGGCAGUUUUGAAUAAAACAUAAAUUCAUUUAUUUUCAUUUAAAAUUUUUGCAAAUGCUGGGUAAGAUCAUCUGGCAAUAAAGUACGCUCACUGAUAAUACAUUCUCAAGUGCUCAGCAAAUUUUUUUGGGUAAGGCUAUACCUUGCCAUCCAAGUCUUCAAUUCAAUAAGUACCAGAUCGAAGCUCUUCCUUAACACGAUAUGGACCUUUUCAAUUGGGUCCAAAGUACCUACAUCUAGCACUUUAGAGGACAAAAAUACUCUCUAAAGCACCAUGUCAUUAAUGCAGAAGUACCCCUCAUUUUGACUUUGGCAUUAUAGUAACAGGUCAUCUUUCCUUGAUAUACAACCAAUUUAAAUUGAGAAUCAUCUCGUUUUUCAUCAGAAAAAUUGAGUUCACAUUUUCUAAACUCACCAUUUGAUAUUUUAUUGAAGUGCAAUCGACGUGGAGAAGGUAAUUCCAUCUCUACCGGGCUCAUAGCCUCGACACAAUAAGCCAUUGAGAAAGGAGUCUCCCCUGUUGGAAUCCUAUGGUGGUUCAGACCACCCAUAAAACUUGAGGCAAUUCAUCAACCCAUGCCACUUUAGAUGCAUCAAGCUUUCGUUUUAGAGUGUGUUUGAUAGUUUUGUUCAUAGCCUCAAACUAGCUAAUUAGCUUAGGGUGAUAUGGUGUGGAAAAAUAUAUCUUGAUCCCCAGUUCCUCACAUAGGUCCUUGACCUUUUUUGUUAUCGAACUGCCUCCCAUCAUACGAUACGAUUGAAUAAAAGAUUCAAAACUCACAUAUGAUGUUCUUCCAUAGGAACUUGGAAGUUUUGCCUCGGUGAUUUUUUGCUAGAGGCUAGACUUCACCCAUUUCGUGAAAUAAUCUAUAGCUACGAUAACAAAACUUGCACUUCGUCUGCUCUUGGGCAGGUGACCUAUAAAGUCUAUACCCUACUUGGCAAAGGGUCAGGGAUUGGAUACUUCAAUCACUUCUUUAGAUAGUUGCCUUGAAUGGGGAUGAAGCAAUGACAUUUGUCACAUUUUCACAUGAACUAAAUGGCAUCAUUUUUCAAGGCGGGUCAAUAAUACCCCUGCCUCGGUACUUUUCGUGCCUAAGUAAGUCCUCCCCAGUAAUUACCACAAACGUUUUCAUGGAUCUGGCAAAGUAUGUAGGUAGAUUCUUCUCUUCUAACACAUCGAAGGAGGGAGAGGAGAAAUCUCUCUUAUUAAGUACAUCGUCUAGAAACACAAAAUAAGCUGACCUCAUCCUUAGCUUGUAAGCCUCUUCUUUAUUUUUAGGGAGGACCUAGUUCUUUAGAUAAGCUUUGAUAUAUUACACCCAGAUGGGGGUUCUCUCUAUCCUCUUUACUUCCUCUCUCACAAUGGAUGCCUUGAAGAGGUGCUCAAAAGGAACCAUUGUCAACAGUUCUGAGUCUUUACUGUUAGCUAAAUUAGACAAUGUAUUGGCAUGGGCAUUCUCAACACGUGGGAUUUGGGCUAGCUUGAAUUUUUUGAAGGAAAGGAGUAAGUCAAUCACCAAUUUGAGGUAUGCAACAUUACUUUUAUCCCGGGCUACGAAGUUGUUGUUAACCUGGCUAACAAUUAAUGAAAGUUGUUGUUGAUGAGCAACAUUCUCACUUGUAUUUCCUUGGCCAGCCGAAGGUCGACAAGCAGUGUCUCAUACUCAGCCACAUUGUUAGUGGCUUUAAAUUUGAACCGCAUUGUAGAAUUCAACUUGUGACCUUUGGGGCUACUAGGACCACACAAACACCCAAGCUCGCUUCUCCAGUCGAAUUGUCUACAAGCAGGUUCCAGGUAGGAGGUUUAAUAGGCUCCAUUGCCUCUUCCAUCUCUAGGACAUUGGCAAACUCAGGCACAUAGUUAGCUAGGGCUUGGCCCUUGAUGGCAGCUCUUAUCUUGAAGUGAAUAUCAAAUUCACUAAGCUCUACUACCAAUUUUAAUAACCUUCCCGAGCAUCAAAUUUCUGAAGCACUUGCCUAAGAAGAAUGUUGUUUAGCACAUUUAUUGUGUGGACUUAGAAGUAGGGCCUCAACUUCUGUAAGUUGUAGUCAAGGCUAAGGCUAGCUUCUUCAUGUCGAGAUAGUGAGUUUUAGGCACUAGAAGUGCUUUGUUGAUGUAAUAGAUAGGCAGUUGAGUGUUGCCUUCUUCUCCAAUUAAGACUGCACUUAUGGCCUCAUUGGAAAUGGUAAAGUAAAGUUGUAGGGCGUCUUCAAGCUUGGGUUUUGAGAGGAGUGGAGCCUAGCCUAAAUGCAUUUUUAGCCCUUGAAAGGUCUUUUCACACUCUUCCAUUCACUAAAACUUCUUACCUCUUUUCAAACCUUGAAGAAGGGGAGACAUUUGUCGGUGGCCUUUAAAAUGAAAUGACUUAAGGUGACUACACAGCCUGUUAGGUUUUGCACCUCCUUUGGUUUCUUAGGGGAUCUCAUUUUCAUCAAAGCUUGAAUCUUUUGAGGUUUGUCUCUACGCCCUUUUAGUUGACCAUAUAUUCCAAGAACUUGUCAGAAGUAACAUCGAACGUACAUCUUAGGGAGUUCAGCCUCAUCCUGUACCUCCAUAAGAUCUGAAAUAGGUGCAUUACAUGGUCAUUUGUCUUUAAACUUUUGAAGAGCAUGUUGUCCACAUAUACCUCCAUUGUUUUCCCAAUAAAGUUGGUAAAAAUCUUGUUAACAAGCCUUUGAUAUGUGGCCUCGACAUUUUUUUAUCCGAAAGACAUCAUUUUGUAGCAAUAAAGAUCCCUAUUAGUGAUGAAAGAUGUGUUUUCCUCAUCGGCCGGAUAUAUGGAAUUUGAUUAUAGCCCGAAUAAGCAUCCAUAAAGUUUAACAAUUCAUGCCCAUGGAGCCCACCAAUUGGUCUAUCCACAAAAGGGGAGAACUAUUGUUAGGGCAAGCUUUAUUGAAAUCGGAAAAAUCAAUGCACACCCUCCACUUUUUGUUGUACUUCUUCACUAACAUCAGAUUGAAGAUCCUCUUCGAGUAUAUGGUCUCUCUGAUGAAGCCAUUUUUGAUUAAUUUGUGCACUUUUUCCUUCAGGGCCUAAUACUUUUUUCUGAAUUGAGAGCUCUUCUCUUCUGUCUAUGUGGGACAUCUUUAGGAUCAAUUUUCAAGUGAUAACAGUUGACCCUUGGGGUCAAUAUCCACCAUAUCCUCGUACCUUCGUGCAAAGACAUCAAGGUUCCUAUGUAGGAAGUCUUUGAGCCUCUCUUUGAUUUUCUAUGAUAGGCCUUUCCUACCUACAAUAACUUAGUGGGAUCUAAAGGGCCUACUGGAAAACCUUCCAACUCAUCAACUGGAGCUGCUUGGGGCUCGAGUUCAAUCGCACGGGGAGUCCAACUUGUCCAAUAUGAACACUUCAUCGGGGACGCUAGCAUCACGACAUUCUGAUGUCUGAAACCUUGCUCACCUUGGAUAUCCAUCAUUUUCAUUUCAACCUCCUUUUUGAUCAUCCCUAACCAUCUAUAUCCUCUGCUCGGUCGAAAAUUCAUGUAUAGAUGGUGGAUUGAGGUGACGGCUACUAGAUAUUUCAAAGUUGGCCUUCCUAGGACCCCAUGAUAGGCUGAUCUACUACCUACUAUCAAGAACUCUAGAAAGUUUAGACUCGUUUGAAGUGACUUCCCCAUUUUGUCAAAAGUCAAAGGUGGCUCUAAAGAAAAUGUCGACGGAAUUGUCAUUAUCUACUAGCAUUCAUUUUAGCCCAUUUCGAGCCUCCAUGGUCCCAAAACAAGGGCGUCAGAAUACGGGAAGUGAAUAGCCUCUACAUCUUCCUAGGUGAAUAUGAUCGGUAGUACUUGGCUCCUUCAACAACUAUCAUCCACUAUGUAACUGGUCAGCAGAGGGCCUUUUGGCCUCUGUGGCAUAGUUCUUUUGCCCAUUUCUUAUUUCACCUCCACAUAAGGACCUCCAAAGAUUGUGUCGAUUUUGUGGAUUGGGGCAUGUUUCACAUUAAACUAGUAACCCCUACGUUGUUAUUGGUCUCUCGGCCUUUUGCCUUCACGCUCCUGUUGCCGUCGAGGAAAACCUUUCCAAUGGCAGGAUGUGGCCUUUCAUGCUGAGUAGGCUGAUCUUGUCUUGGUGGGGGCCUAUUUUCCUUGGAAAAAUCAUCCUUCGCCCAUCUCAGGGACUCGUUCGCCUAGGGUACCGUGCAAUGUCCCUUAAUUUGUCAUGUCAUGACUAUAGAAAUGAUGAUAUGUACAGUAUUCGAAAGGAUUCUACCUACCUCUAGGUCCCGAACCUUGCCCUUAGCCUCUUACCUUUAGGGAGGCCAGUUGUCUCACUCCUGUUUGUUAUACAUUGGUCCCGGGAAUGGAGUCUUCAUAGGCUAAAGUGGGCAUUGCAUUCAAAGUGGCUAUAGCAAUUUCCUACGCCAAGUUGAGAGCAAUCUCGUUUCCAACUUGACUCACUGGUGAUCUAUCAACUGGAGGUAGGUCCUAUGGCUUGGCAUGAGAGCAUUUCUCAAUUCUUGUAAAAAGGGUAAAUUUCCAUCAUCGUCAUCCAAGUCACAAGAUCACUGGAGUUCAUCUAAAUCAUCAUCAUCAUCAUCAGCUUGAUUCUCAGCCGUCUCUUCCCUUCUUUGAUGCCUAUUUCUAGGUUGGCCAGCAUAGGGACAUGUUCUUGCCUUCUCUCCGGUUACCAAGUCAUGUGAGAUGGGACUGUGGUCUGUUAUGAUGUACUGUAGGUAGCUGAGGUUGUCUAUACCUCAGUUUCACGAGGCUAAUCCUAUCAAAUUCACUGCAAAAUCUUUUAGGCCUAAUUUUUUGUUCGUAUUCUGAUGGGAAAUUAUCUUCCAUGAAAAACGGGGCCUCGAUAGGCCUACUAUGGUUGAAGGAAAGAUCAACUCCUACUUCUAUUUCCAUGGGACUAAUUUCUUGAGCACGCCUUGAAGGUUGGGCCAUUUGACUCUGCACCUCAUCAAUCUAUGGAUAUGGCUUUGGAAGUGCAUAAGGGGGAAUUGGAUAAUCCCCUUGGCCUUGCAUUUGCUUCAAUAGCUCUUGUAUGGUUAAAUUUUGGUUGGUAAUGCUUCUUAUAUUGGCCAUCAUAGUAGCUAUUUCCCUAGUAAGUUGGUCGGCGUCGAGGCGCUGUAGCUACUAUUGGCAAAACUUUGUUGGUAUUUUCCUUACUCUCCUAAGGAAAACGUCACUGUCAAAACUCAUCUUUUGUUAACCCAAAACGCUCAAAUUUUUUCAAACUUUUGGGGCUUUCUCUUCUUUAUCUUUCAAGGGGAUGCCCAAAUUUCUAACAAAAAGCUUUUUCAGGAGGAGUUUCAUUGUUAUAGAUGGUAUCCCACAAACGACGUCAAUCUGUUGACCUAGUUGUCCUUUGGGACUAUGUGAAUAACAGAUACCGGUCGCACUCGUGCACACGUAUGUAGAUUUCGACAUACAUGGAUAGGAUACUGGUUGACAAUACUUCGGACUAGGACAUGGAAGAUGCGUUAUAGUAUGAGACAAAUGUAUUCGAGAUCCGACAAUGUAUAUAUAUUUUGAUUGAUUGUAAAAUAAUAACCAAUCGUCAACACUUUCAAGGAAGCAAAGUUAUCUAACUUCAAGCUAAAAUAAAUGAAUGGAUGUUUAGCAAGAGAAAAACAAACAAUAUUGUUAAGUGUGUUGAUUUGCAUUAGUCCCUCUAUGUUACAUUGGCGGGGUAUUUAUAGCAUUACAAACGAAAUGGUGGCCAUUAAAUGGAAAUACAUGUGGUCUCAUCUCCUUAAUCCCAGCAUCUAAUCAUAGGCACCUGUUUAGACCUACUAGCAUGUAGUAUACUCAAUGUUUACAUAGAGCCGCCACUUUGUUUACAAGACUUGACAUUUAAACUCAUUACAGAUGUCCCAUCAAUCAUUUCUGAAAUAUUUCAUACGUAAGUCCAGGAUCUUCCUUACACGGGUCAUCACUGGAUGAAGGGGUCCGAGGCUCUUUAUCUCAGAACUUCAGCUUUAGCGAAAUGGAUGGGCUUCGGACUAUUGUGCGAAGCUUUGUUGAGGUAGUUCCAAUACUUUGAGUAGGUCGGCUACUUCACCAAGGAGCCUCUAUUGUUGGCCAUGUGGAUAAGAGAGCCCUGGUGACAUGUUGCCAUAUGUGACGAGGCGUAAUAACAGUCCCCAAAGUCCAUGCAUAGUUUAUUUAGAUCAUGCACGAACUUCAGCAAGAAGGCUUUCGUUAGUUUGGUUUGUGAAAAAAUAGAAAUUUGUAACCACACACAAAACAUAUGAUGAGAUGCAGUGACAUAUCUGUUAUUCCAAAAAUAGAAAGUAUUGAUUCAUUGAAGAACUUGAAGAAAACCAUUCAAACAUCUGAUGGUGCUAUGCUGGCAAGAUGCGAUCUAGGUGCUCAAAUUCCAUUGGAAAAAGUUCAAUCAGGACAAUAGAGAAGAUUCCAAAUCUACAGGAAAUUAAAUAGGCAUGUUGUUGUUGCCAGUUAGUUGUUGAAGUGGCUGAUAUUUCUGAAGCAGUACGUUAGCGGUCAGAUGCUUUACUGCUUUUUGGUGAGUCUGCCAUGGGCUAGUACCCUGAGAAGGCAUUGACUGUUUUAAGAAUUGUGAGUCUAAGGCUCCAAAGGUGGUGGACAAAGAAGAAACAUAAUGAAGCUAUAUAACUCCUGGGAUGGCUUUGUCUUGUCAGACAGCAUUUCAGAGGAGAUUUGCAACUCUGCUGCUAAGAUGGUUAAUAAGUAUUUGUCUUCAGUUUUCUCAUGAUUAGUUAUCAAAGUGAAUAUUUCUCUAUUUUUACCAAGAAGUUGUAUUUAUUGCAAGCACUGACGACCACUUUAAUUACUGUUAAAAUCCAAUUGCUCAGAUGAAAUACUAUACAAAUAUAAUCUAAGAAUGCAGUUAAAGAUUGUUGAAUCUAGAACUCCUACUAUAUGGGUUUUAAUCCAUUAUUUUAUUAUUUUCUUGUUAAAGGUACUAAUUCACUCUUUUAUAAUGUAGCCAACAAUUUACGGGUGGAUGCUAUUUUUGUUUACACGAAGACUGGUAACAUGGCAUCUAUUCUAUCAUGCUGUCGACCUGACUAUCCAAUUUUCACAUUUACUAACUCGAAGUCUAUACGCAGACGUCGGAACCUGCAAUGGGGUCUCAUACCAUUCCGUUUGAGCUAUUCAAAUGAUAUGGAAAGCAACCUCAACAAGACUUUCUCCUUGCUCAAGGCCCAAGGGAUGAUUAAGUCAGGUGACCUCGUAAUUGCUGUCUCAGAUAUUCAUGCUAAACCUGCAAGUGUACUAAUUUUAACAAGACUCAAAGUAAGCAAAACAAAAGUGACUGUAGUUUGUGAUUAUUCUAAAUUAAUCUACUAAAACUUGUAAAGUUCGAUUUUUGUUUAUAUAUUGGAUGAGUGUAUUGGAUUACGAAUCCACCUAUUAUUAUCUAUUCCAAUUAUCAAUUAUAUAGCAAUUUUCGUUCUUGCAUUCUUGAUAAUCGAUAAUUAUAUUAUAAUUAAUUUUCUUUUUCGAGAUAAAUUAAUUCUAUUCUAGUCAUGACCUAAAUAAUGUUGGAAUUAAACAAAUAAAGAAUAAAGACAUCACCAAAGAUUGACGAAACUUGAUUAAUUUUUCAAAUUAAAGCUGUUGUUUUUCUUUGUUCCACAGCCGCCCACUUUUUAUGUGUAUGUGUAUAUCCUUUAUUCCCAUUUCUAUAUAGCGUAUCUCGGCUUUCAAAAUUCUGGCCGCCUCCGUGUGUCUUUAUUUUUUUCUACCGUGUACGUGUACAUAAAAAAUCCACUCAUAGUCGCCAACUUCUCUUUUUCUUCUCUUCCGGCGGGGGGGGGGGGGGUGUGUGUGUGUGUGUAUCCAACUUCUAUUUUAUUCUCAUAGAAUUCCCACAAGCUCACUUUUAUUUGUAUUAAUAGGAUUCCCGUUAAUGAUUUUGAAUCCUAUACAAGUCCAACAAUUAGGCCCAUUUAAUUUAUCAUUUUUUUUAAGUCAUCCAAUCUUUCAAGCUAAUGCAAUGUACUCCUUGAGUUCAUCAAUUGUGCAACCAACGUCCUCUUCAAUUUCCAGAAUGUGAAAUAUUAUAUCCCUAUUUUCAUCCAAUUGCCAAUUUAUCCUUCAUCUAUUUCCACGUCCUUCAAAAGAGUCAAUCGCUGAAAACAAAAGAAAAUUAACACAAGUUAUGUAGAAUUUAAUAAUUUGAUGACAUAAAAGUUUAGUAAUAUGGCAUAAAUUGCACUUUUCACACCCUAAACUAAAACAUUUGUUCGUCUUCGAACAAAAUAAAACUUAACUCACAGAAUUUUCACAAAUAAUUUAGUUUGAUAACUUGCUUAGUUAACUUACGAUUGGACUUUCAGAGUUGAAACUAUAAAGUAUUUCAAAAUCAUAAUGUCAUAUUAAUCUCUAUCUAUCCAAUGCAAAACUGGCAUGUGUGUGAAGAUUCAUGUAAAGCAUCACAAAGUUAUAAAUUGAUUCACUUCUUGACCCUCUGUGGCUAAAUACUUCAUUACAUCGCUUGUGAGAUGCAUGCUUCAAAGCUUUAUUCCCUCCAUCUUACCGAAAGCAUGAUCUAAGGUUGAAAUUUAAUAAAAACUAAUCUUCACUCUCUCUAGUAUGGUUUGAUUUUACUAAUUAGAUCUCAACACAACGACAAAUGAAGAUUCUCCUUAUUUUUUAUUGCUUCAAUUUCUAAGAAUCAAGUAAGCUAAAAAUCCCUCAUCAAAAGUCUAAUUAUCUCAGCAAAGUGUUUGUGGCUUAAUCAAAGCCUAUAGCAAUAUAUAUUUUUUCUCUCACUUUUUUAAUUUUUUGUUUGAACUUUUCCUUAUUAAACUUUCUAAAUGACCUCUGAAGCGAGCUUUUGGCCGAUGACUUUCAAGUUAGAUGAUCAUAGGACACCAGGUUUAUAGAUACCCUUGUAGGCUUAAUCACUCAAGUAAUAAAGACUACGAAGAGAAAUUUCACAAUAAGACAACACUUUUUUUUGCAAUAAUUAGUGCAAUACCUCUUAUUAAACACUGAUUUUCAAAAAUUGACUCCUGACUUUAGAUUUCAACCUCGUUUCAUCUUAUUAAUUUCAAAUAAUCCACAUAAAACUUAGCACACAUAAAAUCUACAUUUAUCUCUAUGACUCCCCACAACAACUCAAUCACCCCCAAGCCAUCCUAAAAUUGGUUGAGGAUGUAUAACGUAAUGGAUGUUCAGGUUAAGCAUCCAAAAUCAAUUAAUUUCCACCUACUCGUUAAUAUAAAUCAAAAUUUUCUUCAUAAUGCAAAACAUAAAUCUAGUGCUCCAAAAUAUGUAGUAUCACAUGACUAAGCAUAAAUUAACUUAACACAUAAUUUAUCCAUAAUUUACAGACCAACUCUAUGCUCCAAUAUAUUCAUCAUUGUUAACAGAUCAUCUAACCCACACAAUUAUGCAAUAAUAUAUAAAAGAAGUAACGAAACUGAAAAAUAUACUUUUUUUUUUGCGCACUAACAUGAAGGAUUUAAAACAAAAGACUCAGUGAAAUACCCUUCCCAAACUUGAAAAAAACAUUGUCCUCAAUGUCUAGAAAUAGUGCACGUAAUAAACAAAAAGUAAGGACAAAAAGGGAUGAGGUACUCUCCUGGUAUUAGUCCGUAGGUGGUGGAUGGGUGGACAAGAAAGUUCUAGUACUAGACGGGUCCGACACGGAUAAGUGGAUCAAGAGCACAGAACUUACAUCAUAAAUACAUACAAUUUGUCUAUGUGCGUCCUUCGUCUUGCUAUACAUGAUCUCCUUCCUGAUGUGCAUGUCCUUAAUAUGUCUUGUACAUCUGUCUACUCAUCUCACCAUUAAGUCAUGCUCCCUACACAAAGUCAAAAGGGAUCAUAUGUGAUAAUGCAGCAUGAAGACCCUUUGUCUGACUUAUAAUUCACACAAAAUCACCUAUUUUUGCUAUUGAGCCCCCCAAACUUAAUGUAAGCGCUACUGUAAACUUAUAUGAAUUAGCACAUAAUCAACUAUCAUAAUGUGUGGAUGAAGAUACCUAAAUUAAUUUAAACACACAAAGAUAUGAAAAAUUCUAACUAAUGCAAGAAAACUGAAUAAAUAAAAGAGAAGAAGAUUGGGUUGCCUUCCAACAAGCGCUUGUUUAUAAUCUUUAGCUCGACUUUAUUAUUUAAGCUAUUUUGGAUCCUCAAAUGGUAGAAUUGUCUUCUCAUGAGAGUAAUCACCACCCCAAUAAGCUUUCAACCUCUGUCCAUUGACCUUGAACCUUUGUUGUUGAUGUUGGGUCACAACCUCAACUGUGCCAUAUGGGUAUACAGAUAGUACUAUGAAUGGUCCUAACCACCUCGAUCUUAGCUUACGUAGAAAAAGCUUGAGGUAAUAAUUGAACAUGAGAAAUUGUUGCCUAACUACAAAUUAUUUUUCUAUAAUGUAUCUAUUAUGCUAUCUUUUAGUUUUCUCUUUGUAUAACUUUGCAUUUUCACAUAAAACCCAAUCUAAACUCAUCAAGCUUGUUUAGUUGAAGGAUCCUCUUUUUCCUGGCUACCUUAUUAUCAAAAUUUAACAUGCGAGUAUCGCAGUAUGCUUUGUGAUCCUUCGAACACCAAUCAAUACGGAGACAUCCUGAUAGGAAUUUUGAAUGCAGUGCGAUAUGCCUAAAGUGCAUCAUCUAACUUCUUCAACCAAUACGUGCGUGAUGCAUUAACUGUAGCUUCUAGGAUUUUCCUUUAACUCUCUAUUGGAUAUCUCAACUUGGCAACUAGUCUGUGGAUAGUAAGGCAUUACAACCUGAUGUUUGAUCCCAUAUUUUUCCAAAAAAGUUGAGAAUAAGUAGUUACAAAAUUGUUUCCCACCAUCAUUAAUAAUAGCCCAUGGAGUAACAUACGUAGAAAAGAUAUAUUUUUUUAAAGAAUUAAGUCAUAACCCUUCCAUCAUUUGUAGGUGAUGCCACAGUCUCAACCCAUUUAGACAUAUAUUCCAAGCCACCAAGAUAUAUUGUUGAGCAUAUGAAGAAGAGAAUGGUCUCAUGAAAUCAAUACCCCAAACAUAAAAAAUUUCUACUUCCAAAAUGCCAUUCAAAGGAAUUCAUUCCUCCUAGAGAUGUUUCCUGUCCUCUAGCAUUUAUCACACUUCUUUACUAACUUAUAAGCAUAUCUUUAAACAAAAUUGGCCAAUAAAAACCUGAUUGUAAGACUUUAGCUCCUGUUUUGGUUGAUGCGAAUUGACCUUCAUAUAGAGAAGAGUGAUAAUACUUCAAUAAUUGUUUCUGUUCUUCUUUCGGAAUACAACAGCGAAUGAUUUGAUCAGGAUCUCGUCUAUAAAUAAAAGGAUCAUCCCAAAAGUAGUGCUUCAAAUCACUAAAAAAUUUCGUCUUCUGGUCACUCGAGUACUCCAAAGGAAUAACAAAAUUGGCCAAAUAAUUGACAUAGUAUGCAUACCAAGGUGUUGACCUGAUCUAAAAAUAGUCUCGUCUAGAAAUGCCUCUUUAAUUUCAUUUGUAGGAUCUUCGUCUUAUUAUUCCAAACGAGAUAGAUGAUCUGUUACUAAAUUUUCUUUUUCUUUUUCAUCCUAGAUUUUCAAGUCGAAUUCCUAUAGUAGAAGCACCUAGUUGAUGAGUCUCGGCUUUGCAUCCUUCUUACUAAGCAAAUACUUGAUCGUUGAAUGAUCUGUAUACACUAUCACCUUUGACCCAAUUAAGUAAGGUUUGAAUUUAUCAAAGGCUGGCACUACCACUAUAAGAUUUUUUUUAUGUAGUCAUGUAGUUCAAUUGAGCUUCACUAAGAGUUUUUCUAGCAUAGUGAAUAACAUGUAAAACUUAAUUAUUUUACUGUCCCAACACUGCUCCAAUCACGAAAUCACUUACGUUUCACAUUAAUUCAAAUGGUAAACUCCGAUCAGGUGCAGCUAAGAUAGUUAUUGUAACAAAAUUUUCUUUCAAGGUGUUGAAGGCACCCAAACACUCCUUUGAAAUGUGAAAAGGGCAUGUCAUUUUCCAAUAAAGCACAAAGAGGUUUGAUUAUUUUUGAAAAGUCCUUAAUGAAGAGCCUAUAGAAACCUGCAUGUCCUAAAAAACUUCUAAUUUCCUUUGCUGAACUUCUCAAUCACUUGUACUUUAUCUCUAUUGACCUCAAUAUCCCUAGCUGAAAUCAUAUGUCCCAACACAAUUUUUUCUUGAACCAUAAAGUGGCAUUUCUCCCAAUUAAGCACAAGAUUGGUUUCUUCACAUCUCUGCAAUACCAACCUCAAGUAAUUUAAGCAUUAAUUGAAUGAUGCACCAAAUACUGAGAAAUCAUCCAUGAAUACUUCAAUGUUUCUACCCACCAUUAUGCAAAGGUACCAUAAGGACAAAUAAAUGUGAUAUUCUCUUGGUCUUCUGGUGCUAUAGAAAUUCGAUUAUACGCCAAAUAUCCAUCUAUAAAGUAAUAAUGUGAAUAUUGAGCGAGUCUCUUCAACAUCUGAUCAAUGAAAAGAAGUGGAAAGUGAUCCUUCCUAGUUACAUUGUUGAGUUGGAGAUAGUCAUUUGAAACUCUCCAACCCAAGAUUGUGCGCGUAUGAAUCAACUCAAUGUUGUCAUUAGGAACCACUGUACUUCCUUUCCUUUUUGGUACUACAUACACUGGACUCACCCAACGACUGUCAGAUAUAGGAUAUAUGAUCCAUGUAUGUGAUAAUUUCAACACUUCUAUCCGCACAACCUCUUACAUCUUCAGAUUUAAUCCAUGCUGCCGCUUUAUAGAUGGUGUAGACUUCUCUUACAUCAAAAUUUUGUGUAUACAAAGAGAAGAAUUGAUCCCUUUUAUGUCAGAGAUGGUCCAUCCUAUUGCUAUUUUGUGAUCUUGAAAUACUCUUAUUAUUUGAUCUUCUUCAUCUUUGCUGAGGGCAUUUGAAAUAAUUACUGGAAGCGUGUGUUUGUCUCCUAAGAAAGCAUAUCUCAAUUGUGAAGGCAACAAUUUAAGUUCAAGAAUUAGAUCUUUUUGAAUAGAAAGUAAAUAUUUUGUAGGAUCUUCAUCUAGCUCUAAUUGAGUUGAUCUCAAAGAGGAAGGGUUUUCUUCCAAUUGUCGAACAAAUUCUUCUAUCUUUUCUGAUUCAGAUGGCUCUUUUACAGACUGAAACAAGCAAGCCUCAAGCAGAUCUUAAGGAUGAUUGAUUCAGAAUGUAUCUGUCAUUGUCAUGUCCAAUACAUCAAUUUGGCAACAAGAAUCAGGUUUAUCAUCAAGUUUGAGCGCAUUGAAGACGUUGAUGGUCAUUUCUUCAUCAUUCAUUCUAAAGAUCAACCAUCAUUUCUAAACAUCUAUCAAAGCUCUUCCAGUGGCCAAGAAUGAACUACCAAAAAUGAGAAGGACAUUCUUGUCUUUUUCCAUGUCUAGGAUAACAAAGUCAGCUGAGAAUAUGAAUUUGACAACCUUUAUCAAAAUAUUUUCAACAAUUUUCCUUGGAUAUUUAAUUGAUUUGUCAGCUAUCUUUAAUGUAGCUGUAGUAGGCUUCACUUAUCCCAAACCUAGUUUCCUGAAAGAGACAAAGACAUCAAAUUAAUACUUGUCCUUAAAUCACACAAUGCUUUUUUUAUGUAUUUGUUACCAAUAUUACAAGGAAUAGUAAAACUUCCUGGAUCUUUUAAUUUUUGUCCCUGGAUCAUAUAUUGAAGUAUUGCACUGCAUUCUUCAUUCAGUAUUAUCAUUUCAUUAUCCUCCAGCCUCCGUUUGUUUGAUAAUAUGCCCUUCAUAAACUUAGCAUAGCUGGGCAUCUGGGCUAAAGUUUCUGCAAACGGUAUGUUGAUAUGCAAUUUUUUGAAUACUUCUAAAAUUUUUGCGAACUGUCUAUCAAGCUUGUGUUUUUACAAUUUUUGGUAGGUACAUAUGCUUUGAACGGUUGCCUUAACCUAUGGAUUGUCUACUAUAGCGUCCUAAGUUUCUUCUGUUGUUUUAUGAGACUUAUCCACGUGUUCUUUGCCCGUAGUAGGUAUUUUUUCUGCAGUGGCAGCUAGUCUUUUCACUGAUACUUCAAGUGGUGAUGGCCUGUACCUGUUCUUUAGGAUUUGUCUCGGUAUUGUUAGGUGGGGUCCCUUGGGUUUCGCUUGCUAAAUUUUUAAUUGCAGCAUUUUGAAUUUGGAAAAUAGUUUCAGUCUUGGCCAUGUACUGUCCCAAUAAAUCAUCAAUUGAUGACUUUAUCGAUUGUUAUUAUUGUUGUUGUUGGAACCCCGACGAUUUAGUUUAGAAAUUUCCUCGUUGACCUUGAUUAUUAGCCCCACGUAAAAUUUGGAUAUAUCUUCCAACCCGAAUUAUAUGUGUUGGAGUAAGGGUUGUCCUGUUGCCUCUAAAAGUUUUGUAUAUAAUUAAUCUCCUCAGGCUGGAUUACAUGUACGGAGGCUAAAGGACAUCGUUCCAUUAAUAUGAUUUGCACUGCAGCCUUCACAAACCAGUUUCAGUUGGUGUACCAUGUUCACAUUUUGAGUAAAACUAUCUAAUUUCUUUGUCAGUGCUUCCAUUUGGGAUACUAAUGAUGUAGUUAUGUCAAACGUUGUGUAAUCCUACUAUCCUCAUUGGCACUUCCCUAUCUAUUGGCAGCAUGGAUUGAUUUUCUAUAAGUCUCUCAAAAAAAUUUAAGGCAUUAUCCAAAUGAAUUUCCAAUAUCGACCCUCCUGCAGAAGCAUCAGCAAUGUAGCGAAAUUCAGGUCGCUGGGCAAAAUAAAAUAUGCUAAUCUUUGAUUCUUUAAGAAUGUUUAGACUGGGGCACUUCUUGAAGUAAUUUUUUAAUCUUUCCCAUGCUUCUGGAUAACUCUCAAGGUCCUUUCACUUGAAAGUAUGGACUUCACUAUGGUGGACUUGGGAUAGCGAGAAGAAUUUCAAUGUGAACUUUUGCACCAUAUCAUUCUAUGAAACAAUGCUCCUAGGUAUUAGAGAAUUUAGCCAUUCUCGUGCGCACUCCUUUAACGUGUGAGGAAAUAAGUGUAGUAGAAAGGUAUCCACAAACAUUCCUUCAUGGCUGGUCAUAUCGUAGAGAAUUAAGAAUGAUUGAAUAUGUUCAUGAGGAAUUUCUAUUGAUCUCCCAGAGAACCUGAUGUUUUAACGAUUCUGAACUAAGUUUAUCACGUCGUCUCUAAUAUGGAAGUUGACAUGCCCAAAAUGUGUGUAUAUAUAUUAGCGAUUACAAUGAAAAUGGCAUUGGAUUUACAUAAUCCCUCACUAAAGCUUCUCCAUUAUUUGCUAAUGCUCUUGGUUGAUCAAGUUGAGGGAAUGGUAAAGGGUUCUGAGCCUGAGUCUGAUGUUGAUUUUCUAUCAUUUCUCUCACUUGUCAGUGCUCGCUUCUUCGCUAUUUGAAAGUUCUUUCAAUUUCUGAAUCUAUCGAAAGAAGCUUGAUUUCGUCAAAAUUUUGCAUAAGAGGUAAUUUCCUGAAAAAAGUAAAACAAGAUAUUUAGAUCGUUCAAUAAAUAGACUAAAACAAAUAAAGUAAGGAAAAAAAUAAAAAACUUCAAAUCUAAAAAAAAAAAAAAGAUUAAUAAGCUCAAAUUAAAUAAUUACUCUCUGACAACGAUGCCAAAAAUUUAUUCGUGCGAAACCCACAAGUGUAUGGAAUCGUUGACAAACAAUACGUGAUGAAUUAUGUAUAUCAUCCCACGAGAAAUAAAAUUUAAUAGAGUAUACUAGUCUUUAAUAAAACUCAGAAUAAGAAAAAAAAAGUUAAAAUUUAAUAGAGUAUACUAGUCUUUAAUAAAACUCAGAAUAAGAAAAAAAAAAGUGAUUGUAGUUUCUUAUUAUUCUAAAUUAAUCUAUUAAAACUUGUAAAAUUCAAGUUUUUUUUUUUUAUAUAUGAGAUGAGUGUAUUGGAGUACCAAUUCAUCUAUUAUUAUUUAUUUCAAUUAUCAAUUAUGUAGCUACUUUCGUUCUUGUGUUCUUGACAAUCAAUAAUUCUAUUACAAUUAAAUUUUUUUCAAAAAAAAUUAAUUUUAUUAUAGUCACGAUCCGAAUCUAUUCCUAGUCCGAAUUCAAAUAAAUAGAAAGCAUUCAUUUACAAUUAUCUCAAGAAUUGUAUAUGUGAUAAAUAUUAUUCCUAAAAUUUAUUGCACAUGUAUUAAUCAAGAGUGUUCUAAACUUAUUGUGAGCCUUCUAACACUGCAACAAGCAACCAUAUAUUCAAUUGGUGAUCAAACAAUCAAAUAAUAAAUUUAGCAUGCAAGAUUAAUCAAGAAUUGCAAGAAUUCAAUUAAGCCAUGUGUCUCGAAUUAAAAAUAAAUAAUAAAAGAAUUAAUCUUCAUUCAAUACAUAAAAAUAAUUAGUCUAGCAUAAUGUUGAAAUUAAACAAAUAAAGGAUAAAAGACAUCACCAAAGACCGAUGGAACAUGAUUAAUUUUUCAAUUUAAAGCUGCCAUAUUUCUUUUUCUUUCUUCCACAGCCGCCCACUUUUUUGUGUACAUGUAUAUCCUUUAUUCCAAUUUCUAUAUGGCAUAUCUCGGCUUUCAAAAUUCUAACCGUCUCCUUAUGUCUCUAUUUUUUUAUGACGUGUGCACGUAUAUAUAAAAAUCCACUCAUAGCUGCCAACUUCUCUUUUUCUUCCCUGUCUGUAUGUGUUGAACUUGUGUCUUAUUCACAUAGAAUUCCCACAAGCCCACUUUUAUUUGUAUUAAUAGGAUUCCCAAUGGUUAAUGAAUUUGAAGGGAAAAAAUCUCAACUCAGGGGUAUAAAAUAGCCCAAAUCAAAAACCCCCCAUAAUGAUUGAAAAUCCAAAUGUCUGGUGUGUGUGUGUGUGUGUGUGUGUGUGUGUGUGUGUGUGUGUGUGUGUGUAUAUAUAUACACACACACAGAGAGAGAGAGAGAGAGAGGAAGAUUCUGUUACAUCCGUUUCCUACAAUUAAGCUCGCUUACCAUAUAUAAUAGGACUCCAAAUCUAAAAUAUCCAUAACCAAAAUUCAAAAAAAUCUGUCAGAUUUCAUUAUGCAUGGCAACGAAAUUGAUGUUGCCGAUUGAUUUUACUACAAUUUAGUUGAUUUCAUUACUCUAUCAGGUCACAGAGAUCGGUGUCGAUUCCAUAAAAAGGAAAUAAUUGCCGAAGAAGCCAAUCUAGAUAAUAAUAUGAAUGCUAUGUUCAUUGAUUCGAAUAUCACAUUCAGAACUGAAUUCCGUAACACAAAUUGGUCCUAAAAUCAUCGUUGCAAGGGACAAGAAAUCAUUGCUGGCCACGAAAGUGCUGAUCGUCCCUGGCUAAUAUAAUACAGGUAAUAAUGUAUUUUGCUGCGAUCACAACUUGAAAUCAACAAUCAUGAGACUAAUGUCGUUCGUCACAAAAUUAGUAUAAUAUCUAACUUAUAGGUCACAGCUGCUCAUAUCGUCGUCAGCUAGUUUCUCGUCACAGGUUGCUAUUCAGUAGAAUCACUAUAGAUGUCUGUGACACAUACGUGAACUGUAUGUAUAAAUGUGACCUGAUAUGUGAAAAUAUAACCUCUCUACUGUGAAAUGUGAAGUGUUUCAGCAACUAUGUUCAUGUAUUUAGCAUCAAACGUGUCGUUAUUCACUUCGAGCAUAUGCGACCUCUGUGUAACAAUGUAGGAAGUCAUAUGUGACUUGAUUUCUGGCUCCAUAACCCUAAUUGGUAAUGCGUGACCUGCUAUGUGAAACUGUGACUUGACUUGUAAAUCUGUAAUCUAUCUGAUGUGACAUGUUUCCCCCACUAUGUGUCGAGAAUGUAAAAUCAAACAUUUCGUCAUUCGUUUCGAGCAUAUGUGACUCCCUGUCAACUCUGUAAUCUAAAUGAUACCAAUCUGUGACCCGACUUGUGAUUAUUUUAUCCAUAACUAUUUGCAACCUAGUUUGCUAAUUUUUGACCUUGUUACUUUGCAGUUUGACAUGUGACAUAUUUCAAAUAUGAUGAAAUUAUUGAUAUUAAUUCUAAUUUGCAGAAUGGUGUACUUGCACAUAUGUUUACUGUAUGGAAUGCAAUCCUCAUUGGCGUUGGUAGCUCGCAACUGCAGUUAUUUAACCCUUGUGGAAACAGUGAUGACAGAAUUUGCUCUGGAUCCUACGAAGGUAGCUGUGUCAUUGAAGUACAUAUUGACAGAAGAUUUGCCUCCCAUCAGGAUAAAAAAUGAUAAUAAUGUACUAUCAUACGUUCUACUAAAGGACAUGGAGCAUGAACCUGCUAAAUAUCCGAUAAUUGUUGACGUUGUUGAGGCAGAAAUAGAUAAUACAUCCAUCAUAGUGCCAGUCAAUGAGCAUUCCAGCGGUGAAAUGUUUACAUUGCAAGACAUGGUAUCAGACAUCUACGAAGCAUCAAAUGAAAAAAUGGGUCACAUUUGUGACACUGAAGUCACAGUUGUGUCUGUUGUGGAUGCUAGAGAGGUAGAAGAAGGAAGGGUGUUCUGUGAUAAGGAUGUUUUGAAAAUGAGCCUGUCGUUUUUUGCCAUACAGAGUAUGUUUGAGUUUAUGGUUGAACGGUCCGACAAGAGAGAAUAUGUCGUGCGAUGUUCGAAUGGUGGAUGUAGUUGGAUAUGUAGCUUGUCGAUAUGGGCUAAAACAGAUCUAUUUAAGAUUCGAAAGAUUGGUAGUCACACAUGUGCAUCAAAUGUAGUAUUAGGAUCACAUAGGCAAGUGUCAUCUAAGGUUGUGUCAUCUACAAUUAAGUACAAGUACACAUCGUCCCGUACUAUAUAUACACCAAAGGACAUAUGCAGUGACAUGUUGAAUACUUAUAGGAUUUAUUUGAGUUAUUCAAAAGCUAGGAGCUCUCGCGAGCAAACUUUGAAAAUGAUUAGGGGUGACCCAGUCGAGUCAUUUGGUAAGUUGCCAAGCUUCUUCUACAUGCUCCGAGAGAAAGAUCCUGGUAAGGUCAUAGAAAUAGAGGUUGAUAGUCACAGUAAGUUCAUAUAUUGCUUUAUGGCACUAGGUGCAUCAAUACGGGGAUGGGAGCAUUGUAGACCGGUGAUUGUUUUUGAUGGUACAUAUUUGAAUAGUAAAUAUGGAGGUAUACUUUUCACACCAUGUACACAAGAUGCAAAUAAUAGCAUAUUCAUUCUUCCUUUUGGAAUUGGAGACAAUGAGAACAACAAAUCUUGGAGAUGGUUUUUCGAUAAGAUGAAGAAAGCGUAUAGAAAUGGAGAAGGGUUGUAUUUUGUGUCGGACCGUCACCCCAGUAUAAAGAAUGCAAUAAAACAUGUGCAUCCGGGAGCCUGUCACGAUAUUUGCUCUUAUCAUUUGUUGCAAAAUCUAAAAUCAUAUUAUGGAAAGUCAGGCUAAAACAUUACACAAGCAUUCAAUUCGGCUGUCCACGCUUACACGGUGGAAGAAUAUGAUUAUAACAUGUCUCUGCUGACUAUGAUGAAUGAGAAGAUAAUUUCUUACCUGGUAGUGUAAUUAGUCUUAUUUCAUUUCACAUCCAUAUAAAUGGUCACAUAUGGUAAUUACAUAAUGUUCAUCAAAUUGAUUUAAGUUUGCAGACUAAUGUUGAACCUGAAAAGUGGUCACGAAUACAUAUGCCAACAAACAGGUAUCCUACAAUGACAUCAAACAUCGUGGAAUCUGUCAACGCGGUCACGAAGGCAGCCAAAAAUUACCCUAUUGUAUCCUUGCUAGAGUCAUUACGGCAAACCAUACAAUCGUGAUUUUGUAGAUACAGGGAUGAUGCACAUAGAACUUUCACAAAGUUAUCGAGCAAGUACGAGAAAGAGAUUAGAAAAAUGAGCAUGGAUUUGAGGAACUUGAGGGUAAUUUUUUAUAUUUUAACAUUGAGAUGUAUGUGUGAUCCAAUGUAAGUGUCAGUAUCUUGAACUGUAAUGUAUCAAAUCUGAUGUGACCUGUUUUGUGAUUCUGUGACCUGGUUGGCAAACUAAGUUUGAAGCUCUGUAUUCUGUUUCAUAGCUAUCUAUGAAUGGAACAAAUUUGAGUAACUUGAUAUAUAAAUCUGUGACCUAAGUGAUCUGGUAUGUGAUGUAACUGUGUAUUCUCUGUCAACUCUGUAUUCUGAUGUAUGUCUAUCUACCAAAUGAGGUCUGGACUGCAUAUGUAACAUGCUUCCUGAAUUUGUAAAUAAACUCAGGGAUAUGAGUCAUUCUUGCGUAACCGACACGUUGGAGUAUAUGUGACAUGUAUUCAACUACAUGUAACCUGACUGUUGUUAUAUGCACACAGGUAUCUCCUUCAAACCAGACAAUGUUUUCUGUUAGCAACGAAAGGUUGACAUUUGUCGUCGAUAUUGAGCAACGAACAUGCACUUGCAAGAUUCUACAAGUUAAUCUAUUACCUUGUCCACACGCUUUGGCUAUAAUUGCAAACACAAGAAGAUAUCCAUAUGAUUAAUGUUCCUAUUAUUACACAAGAGAUGCGUACUCGAAUGCAUACCAAGAUUCUGUAUAUCCCGUUGGAAAUCAAGAGGAAUGGAUAGUGCCAGAAGAAGUACAGCGAGAAAUAGUGUUACCUCCUAACUAGAAGAGGAGUUAUGGAAGAACUACAGAGAAAAGAAAGAGAUCAUCCAGAGAAGGGAGACCGACGGCAAAAUGCGAACGUUGUGGAGGACAGGGUCACAACCGUAGGAGAUGCUCCAGCUUGGCUCCAUUACGCUAAAAUGACCGAUAGAAUUACAUACAAAUAUUUCAUAGAUAGGUGAUAUUCUUUUAAGGAUAAUGUUCAUUUUAAAUAGUCUCUUUAAAGAAUGCAUUCAGAUUGAUCAACUAACAGUUAAUUGUCUAUCAACUUUGAAGUCAGAAUAAUAAUUCUCUGUGAUUUGGACCAUAUCUGUAACCUGAUACCAAAUCUGUUACUUGUGUGCUGUGACCUGUGAUGUGUGACAUGCCGUAUGAAAAAGUUACCUGAUUUGUGAAUAUGUAACCUGAAAUGAGAAUAUGUGACCUGAAAUAUGGACACAUACGGGUUACAUAAAUCCUAAUAUCUAUAAACCUUGCACUGUGACACGUGAGUUGUCGUGUGAAAGGUAUGUGUGAGGUGAUAUGUAAAUCUGUGACCAAGUUCAGAAACCAACUCUGACCUGUCUGCUGUACCAUAUGACAUAUUUCAUUGACUACGUGACGCUGUUAGAAAUAAAGAAUCUGUAUAAUUUACACAAUUUAUAUAAAAAUAGCAUUAAAAUAUAAUCGAAGAUGGAUAAAUCAUGAUCCUAAACACGUUAAUAUCAUUCACUGCAAAUCAAAGGUUACGAGUUAUUAUUCAUUACAUGAACCUCUAUUGACCAGACACAUGCAAUUUUCAAAAUAUUUACAAACUAAAUCCUUGUCUUUACUAACAAAUCUAAAGCCACUUUUCAUUCUAUAACAAGUGCUUCCUUCGUCAUAGGCUGAUUCACUUUCUUUGUGUAAAUCUAUCGGUGUUUGUAGAGCAACGUAGCAAUAUCCAUUCUGAACUUACUGGUAUCAAACUUCUCGAGAAUGGAACAUCCACCACCACGGAUAAAAUACAAGGCAUAUAACACCAGGAAUAUCCCGCAAUCUUGACUGCAGAACAUAUGACAGAUUGUUAUGAAUGAAUCCAUCAAAAGGAUAUACGCAUUGUAAAUCUUGAUAACAGACUUACCCAUUUGUUUGCUGAGGGAGUGUGUCGUCAAUGAUUACUUUCAAUUUUUUAGCUUUUGGCUCGUGAUAAUCAGGAUCCUUCUUUGAAAUUCCUAGGGUAUUCAUUAGAGCAGGCAAUACCUUCAUGUAUGGCUGACCUUGCAAAACCUUCUAGUCAUGGUAAGAUUUACCUGUCGAGUUGAACACAGUCAAGGUACGACUUCUGAAUUGUAAAAGGCCAAGCAUCCAAUGUGCUUAGUUAGUGGGUAUGAUCAGCAUGAACACAUAGUCAACAUCAGCCCAGGGUGAGCUAAAAGGGAAGCUGUCACCUGUUGCAACCUCAAGCAGGCUCGACUCUGACAUCAGAACAUUUGGGUCCUUCAUAAAGGUAGGAAAAAUAUCUUUUAUUUUAAUCUGGAACCAUGAGUUUGUAGUAGUGGCUCUGUAUUUCACAUUUUUGCCAAGUUUUGCUAUCUGGCGAAUGAAGUAAAAGCAGACAUCCAUGUGCUAUUUCAAUGAGAAGAAAAGAUGUAAGCAUUGCGUACUCCAGAUUGGAUACAAAUAUGAAAUGUGACCUGUUUGUAUCAAAUGUGACUCUGUGACUAGUUACUAUAUGAAAUGUGAUCUGUUUAUAUCAUCUCUGAUACUCUUCUUAAUGAGCACGAAAAAAAUUAGAAUUCUAAAAAAGUAAUGUAACUUAAUUAAGUGUGUAAACGUAAUCGUACCGCACGACGCAGUGAUGACUCCGAAUUUAUAAGCUCGUGGAACCAGGUCUUAUGACCUACUGGGAAUGAACCAAUUAGAAAAGCAAGCUUGAUGGCAUCAUCUUCCUCGCUAAACUUUUUCCUAUGACCGACACUAAAGGUUACAUUGUUUUGUCAAACUAUGUAUUGAGUAAUUUUUCACAGAUAGGUAAGAAAUGCACUUACUUGUUUUUUGGUUUCUACCCCCUCUGGAACCAACCCAUGAAGGACGAUUUGUUAACUUCGUCAACAUUGUCUUUGUAAUCCUCGAAAACGACAACAUUAUCAUCAUGUUUGAAUAAUUUCCCUCUCUCAUGUCCGGCAACAAAAGCAGACUGCAAUACCCUUGAUGGCCUUAAAAUCCACUUAACUGGUAAUUCCGAGAUUGGUUCAACAAUAGGUGAUCCCUGUAUGUUAUUGCAGUAGGUUACAAAUAGAUUGAAAAUAUUGCACAUGAGCUGUCUGUGGCAUUGUUUGUAAGCGUGUGUGGUCUGUCACCUAUACAUGUGACCUGGUCUAAAUGUGUCUGUGAUAUGUGACAUAUGAUUGGAAGAUAGUUUGAAAAGGGUGUGUGGCCUGUGACCCAUAAAUAUAACAUGGUUUGGAAUGUAUGUUAUCUGUGACCUAUGAAUAAGACAUGGGAUGAAGGAAUCUGUGAUCUGUUACCUAACAAUGUGACAUGAUUUGGAACUGUGUUUAAUCUGUGACCUAUGAAUGGGACAUGGUUUGAAGGUAUCUGUGCUCUAUGAUCCAUGACUGGUACAUGUGUUGGUAUUGUGUAUGAUCUGUGACCUAUAAAAGGGACAUUGUUUGGAAUGUCUGUGAAAUGUAACCUAUGAAUAUGACAUAAUCUGAAGUGUGUGUGAUCUGUGACCUAUUAAUAUAACAUGGUUUGGAGGUAUGUGUGAUUUGAGAUCUACAACUACUGGAACAUGUAAAUACCUCAUUCUCUACAGUUUUUGUUGUGGUCACCACAUCAAAUAUGAUGGAAUCUGCCCUCUUCUGAGUUUCCUCCGAAUGCAAAACAUUGGGUGGGGUGAAUUCAAUCCCCAAAUCAAAUGAUGUUGGCUCAAGGGAGAAGAGAAGAUCAUCACUUGGGUCCAUUUUACCCUUCCCUUUUCUGUCGACGUUUGAUACUACAUUUUCCACCUACAUGUUGAAUGGAAAAUGUCAAAAUGAACUAUGUUAUUUUACAGAAAUGUAAAAUAUAUCAAUUGACUACCUCCUGAGCCUUCUCAAAUCCACCAGCCCCAUGAUGUUCUUGGUCUCCAACUCCAGGAGCUUCUUUUUGUCCUACUCCACGCUCGCUUGUCUUGUCAGCAGACCGUCUAAUGAUCUCAUUCAUUGCACUGGAUAUCAUUAUUGACAUAGACUCAGAUAGAAACUACAUGUUUGUCCGAAUAUCCAUUAGGUUACUUUUAAUACAGGCUUGAAUUUGAAUAAUGUCAUCCAUUUUGUUAGUCUUCCCUUCGUUCAAAGAUGACAUAUGUGACUUGAUGUCUUCAAGCUCCGUCUUCAACACUUUAUUAUCUGCCUGGAGUUCGGAUACUUGCACACGCAACACCUCAAAAGCUCGACAAAAAUGAAUAACUGAUUCUUAUAUGUUGCUUGCGACAUAUCUGUGACCAACCAUCAACAUACAAUGCACAUUGGUCUAUCUGUGACUUGAUGUGUAUGAAAUGUGACAUAGAAAAUAUUGAUGUGUGACCAAUGAUGAAAAUAUUGAGAGUUGACUAACAUAACAACUUACGUCAUCCCUUUGUGCCCCCAUGAGAUUGUGGCUCCUCUUAAGAAUGAUGAGCGGCUGUAGGACCUUCAACAACCAAGGAUUUUCCACGGGUGGAUGGCUCUGCCGUCUUGGAGGAGAAGCAACAAAAUCGUCGUCGUCAUCUGAAUAGUGAGCUUGUCCAAUAUUACUAUCCAUCAAUGGUAGUACUGAUGGACCCAACUUCUCGCUAGUAUCGACAUCUUCAAUAGACCUCUCCGUCCUGUGCUUGGUUCUUCUUCGGCUCUCGGUUGAGGACGUCAGCUGGAUUGGCUUGUUGUAUUGGACUCCGUUCAUGUAUGGCAUCACAAUUUCACUUUCCAACGGUUCCAAGUCACAAAUCUCAAUCUGCAAUACAAUAUGUUGUUUAUAUGAAUGCAAAGUCAAAAAUUCAGUAUUAAUUGCACGACGCUUAUUGGAAAUUUACCUUAGGAUUGGAGAAGCAGUCGGGUCCUUCCAAUUUGACAGCUGAUGGUUGCUCAUCUGCCAUCCAGUUUACAAUGAGGGGAUGCACCCUCGAUAUCCUAGUGACCACGAUGCCAUCAAGAUAGGGAAACGUCUCGUAUAUCCAUGCUUGGAAGGCUACAAGCAUUCCUCGUAGCCUAUAGCGUUUGCUUAUUGGAAAUUUACCUUAGGAUUGGAGAAGCAGUCGGGUCCUUCCAAUUUGACAGCUGAUGGUUGCUCAUCUGCCAUCCAGCUUACAAUGAGGGGAUGCACCCUCGAUAUCCUAGUGACCACGAUGCCAUCAAGAUAGGGAAACGUCUCGUAUAUCCAUGCUUGGAAGGCUACAAGCAUUCCUCGUAGCCUAUAGCGUGGGGUCCUCCUGCUUAGUCCAUCUCUCAAUACACCCAGAGUAAUUUGGAAUAGCAGCUUGCCCCAUGGAAAACUGUUCAUUUUAUUAAAGUCCUCAAUAAGAACAAACAGGAAGUGGUUGACAGCCUUCUUGUAGUCACGGGGAAAGAGAUAGGCAGUUAAGAAAUAUAAAACCCUGAACAUUGCAACGUCAUUAUCUUGUAAAGCUUCAACCAGAUCGAGAUCAGGCAUUUGGCAUGUAGACAGAAAUGUGUCCUUCACAUCUUCAUGUGUGACGGUAUCUAAUUGUGAAAAGUAUUUGACCUUCAACUUUGACUGUCUAUUUUCAAAAAACCUGAGUAUCUAUAUCGCCUGAACAUCUCAGUCCUGUGACCAAAUAGAACUUAGAUAUAGAGAAGCUGACGUAUUGCCCGGAAACAUAAAACCAUAGUUCUUCCUCAUUCGGGUGCUGAACUUGCCUCAGAAGGAAGUAGUGAAUCAACUGUAGUUGAAUCACUAUUUCAUGGCAAUCCAGGAAGUGGGCAAAGCAUGUGCCCCUUAAUAUCUGUUUUUGGUUUUGGCUUAACUUAGAUUGUAUAGUGGAGAGAACACCCUUGUACACAGAGGUGGUAAUCUUGUCAGAAAAUCAACUUUUUUCAAAUAUUUUAAAGUGCCAGACCUACAUAAAGCAUUAAUAAUGGUAAAAUUGUUAAGUACAUGUAUUGUAAUUCAGAGACAGAAAAGGAAAUACAUUUAGGUGAUAUGGUCACAUAUGGGUUAAAUAUUGGUCACAUAUAUGUAAAAUUGGUCACAUAUGGAUAUCAUAUUACUAAAGCACAUCAUCAACCAUGUUAAUAGUCAGCUCAUAUGUAUACAAAGUCUUUUCAUUCAGGCCAAAUAUUCUCAACAGGUUUUAGUCACAUUCACAAAUUAAGGUCAUAGUCAGAUGAAACCCUGUUAAGAAUUAUAAGAACUUUUACAUAAAUUUUCAAGUGAUGAUUGGGCCCAUUUCAUAUCCUACCGUGAACCACAUGUCCUAUGAAGCAGAGAUCAUGCAACGUCAAGCUGAGGACACUCUUCCAAAUGUCAGUUAUUAAACAUGAGAACCCAGACAUAUAUUUUUCAUUUGUUUUUAAAUUUGCUUUGGGCUUCAACCAUUAUAGCCAGAACUGUGACGGAAAGUAGUAGAUGUACAUAUGAAUGUCUUUGUAUUGAGAAUACUUGGUCACAUAUAGGUGAAAUGGUCACACAUGGACAUCGUAUAGCUAAAAACACAUCAUCAACCAUGUUAAUAGUUAGGUCAUAGGCAUACAAAGUCUUUUCACUCAGGUCACAUAUUCACAACAAACUUCAGUCUCAUUCACAUAUUAAGAUCACAUUUAGAGCCCAAUCCCCAUUACAGUAAGGUCACAUGCAAUCAUAUCCAUAUGCAUUUACAUCACAGAUUCCCAAUGUAUACUUAUUCGUGAAUAGAUAAUAGAUUAUUCGUAACAUCGAAAAUGAAAAAUCAAAUGAACAAACAUUCUGCGUUUAAAAUGGCAAACCCUACCCAAUUCCAACGACGGAACGAAUUCAAUAGAUUUCAAUGUCACGGAUCUUCAAUACGUCUUGAAUACAUGUUACCCAACAAUUAUUCAAUCAAUACCCAUCACUUAAUGUAUUAAGAGAACAUAAAAUCAACAUACCAUGUUCGAUCGAACUUUUCGCAAAGCACGGACGAUGCCGCAUACUUUUUCAUAAGGGAUUUCAUUGGGCUUUCCUCAUGUUUCCUAUUUCAUCUCUUUUCUGGCGUUGCAUGGAUGUUUAUCGCCUUGGGUUUAGACAUUUUUUUUUGUCAACUGUAAAAUGGGAAGUUUUUUGACAGAGUUACGGGGUAGAGGAAGAAUAUACUCAGUUCACUUUGGGUAUGUGACGAAGAUUAGUUCCUUGACAGGCCGAAGCGGGAUAACUAACCGAAGAUAUUCGCGAGGUUGGUAACUGCCGGAGUGGUUUAUCACAGAUCGUGGGGAGAGGUUUGGGGAGAGUUUCUCUCGUUUGAUAGAGAAGGAAGAAAGAUAGAUUUGAAGCACGUUAACAAGGAAUCGCGCUUAUUUUAAAUAAGUAGUUUUUUUUUUAAUUCUAAUACUAGAUAUUUGACUAGAAAAGUUGGGACCAUGAUUUAUACACAGUGAACUUAAAAGCCCUGGCAGGGUGUAAUUUCCUUGAAUUUGAUUUCUAUACCAAGUCCAAAAAUUAGGCCCAUUUAAUUUUUAUUUUAUUUUUUUGGGAAAAUUUCAUAAUCCAAACAUUAAUUAUGAUAUAUUUCAGUGUUAAGAUGAUAAGUUUGUAAUUUCAAAAUUUAGAGAAUCUGAGAGAGAGAGAGAGAGAGAGAGGAUUUCGUUGCAAUUAAUCUCUAAAAUCAAGCAACUAGUUUCCAUCCGUGAACAAACCCCCUAAAAUUUAUGAUUUAAUUUAUUUAAUAAAAUUUAUGUAUGAUUUAAUUUAUUUAUUUAUUUAUUUAUUAAUUAAAUAUAUUAUGGUCACAUAUCUAUACAAUUUGAUCACAAAUUCACAAUUUAAUUAGUCACAUAUUAUUUUUGGGUCACAAAUCAUAAUUUUUAAAUGCCACAAAUUAUUUUAGGAUCACAAUUCAAAAAUUUAUAGGUCACAAUUUGUUCAAUGAUCACAGAUCAAAAAGUAAUCAGUCACAAUUUGAUGUAUCGAUCACACACAAAUAUUAUAGGUCACAGUUUAUUAGAAGGUCAUAAAUUAAUAUAUUUUUAGGUCACAUUAGUAACGAUUUAUCUUUUUCAUUGUUCACAUAUUGUUUAUUGGUCACAAUCAAUCGAAUAAUCUGUGACCACUACCACAGCAAGCACAACACCACCAGCCACCCCUGAUCAUUGCAACACAAACCACCACCACAUUAACAAAGACCAAACACCAAAACAAUGAAAAACAAACCGCAAGAUCUCGUCACCUGACCCCUGUCAUCCCACACACAAACCACCAUCGUCACCGUCGACCACUGCAGACCGCCAUCAACACUCACGACAACUAUUAACGCCUCGACCACCACCACCAAUAAACCCCAAACUCGACAUCACUGCGGCCACCACGAUGAAAAUUUAAGCCACGCCGCUCAAAUUAGCAGAUAUUGUAAUGCCCCGACCCGCAUGGAUGGAAACGUCACUCAAACCAUUGUACCUUAGCCGUAAAGUUAGUUCAAUAUAGUUUUAGUAGAAGAUAUAAAGAUUAAAUUUUUGAAUUUAAUAAAAGAAUUUUCUUUUUUUUAUUUAAACAAUAAUUCAAUUCUAAAAGAAAACAAUUUCAAAAUAUUUUUAGAAUGGGUUCCAUGCAUGUAACGACUAUUGACGUGAACUUUUGGCAAAACUUAAAAAGUAAUGUUUUUGUUCCAGUUUUUUUUUUUUUUUUUUUUUGUCUCAAACAGUAAUUAUCAAAAUAAAUUUGUUUUCAUAGCUAUCGACCUUGAAACUUCAUCAAAUUUUAAUGUAAGGUAGUAAACUCCUUAUAAUAUGACAUAUUCAAAAACUAGCUUCCAUUGACAUCAUAUGGGGUAUUAAAAUAUUUUUCAAAAUUCAGCAACAAUCCGGUUGAAAGAUAAAUCGGUGCAGUUCACUUAUCAGUACCAAUCUCAUUCUUGAUCUUCUGCAAGAAUGGGUCUUUAUCCUGUACUUCUAUGAUCCGAUCUCUAAGAGUAGGUCAAACCACCAAAGUUGCUAAAUGAGCAGUGACUUCUUCUGGUGUGGUAAUCACUUCAAUUUGCAACUUUUCCAAGUCUUUGAUCAACUCCAUCGAAAUAGUAGGCAAUGAUGCCAACUGUCCCAUCGACUUUCUGCUUAGAGCAUCAGCAACAACAUUAGCCUUACCUGGAUGAUAAUGAAUAGUACAAUCAUAAUCUUUCACUAGCUCCAACCAUCGUCUCUGUCUCAUAUUCAAUUCCUUCUGUGUGAAGAAAUAUUUGAGACUCUUAUGAUCCGUAUAAAUAUCGCACUUCCCUCCAUACAAGUAAUGGCGUCAUAUCUUUAAUGCAUGAACCACUACCGCAAGUUCUAGAUCAUGUGUCGAGUAGUUCUGUUCAUGUUGCUUCAAUUGCCUUGAAGCAUAGGCAAUUACUUUUCCAUGCUACAUCAGUACACAUUCCAAACCUUGCUUGGAUGCAUCACUAUAUAUAACAAACCCUUCUGAACCUUCAGGUAUGGUUAAUACAUGUGCUGUGAUCAAUCAUUGUUUUAGCUCCUGAAAAUUUUGCUCACACUUAUCUGUCCAUUGAAACUUUACUCAUUUCCUUAUCAAUUGUGUCAUUGGUCCAGCUAUUUUGGAGAAUCCCUCUAUAAAUCUUCGAUAGUACCCAGCCAAUCCUAAAAAACUUCGAACUUCACCAGCAUUAGUCGGUGUCUUCCAAUUAGUUACUGCUUCCACCUUUACUGGGUCUACUUCAAUUCCUUGGGUAGUAACUACAUGAUCGAGAAAUCCAACUCGUUCAAGCCAAAAUUUGUACUUUUUGAAUUUGGCAUAUAACUUUUCCUUGCGUAGUAUCUCCAACGCUAUUCUAAGAUAUUCCUUAUGUCGAUCUUAACUCUUGGAGUAUAUCAAAAUGUCAUCAAUGAAGACUAUAAGAAAUUGAUCCAAAUACUGAUGAAAUACUCGAUUCAUCAAAUCCAUGAACAUUGUCGGAGCAUUUGUCAAUCCGAAUGGCAUAACUGUGAACUCGUAAUGUCCAUAACGAGUUCUGAAAGCAGUCUUAAGUAUAUCAUCUGCCUUAACCUUCAAUUGAUGAUACCCAGAUUGUAAAUCGAUCUUAGAAAAUGUCUUAGCCCCUUUCAAUUGAUCAAACAAAUCCUCAAUUCUAGGGAGAGGAUACUUAUUCUUGAUGGUUAAACGGUUCAACUCCCGAUAGUCGAUACACAUCCUCAUACUUCCGUCUUUCUUCUUUACAAACAAUACUGGUGCGCCCCAUGGUGAUACACUUGGUCGAAUAAAACCAAGGUCUAACAAUUCUUGUAACUGGAUUUUCAACUCCUGAAGUUCCUUUGGGGCCAUUCUGUAUGGGGCUUUAAAUACUGGCGCCACUCCAGGAACUAGAUCUAUUGUGAAUUUCACUUGUCUAUCUGGUGGAAUACCAGGUAGAUCUUCUAGAAACACGUCUAUAAAUCCUUGUACCACUGGUACAUCCUCAAUCUUUGUCGUUACCAGUUUUUCUCCAAAUAUAUUAACUAGAAACCUUAGAGAUGUUUCUUUUCUCAACAUUUUCUCAGCUUGCAAGGCCAAUACUAGUUGGAGAUGGGGUUUGGUCUUUAUUCUGAGGAAAGAAAAUUGUUCUUCUCCUGGUUUUGGAAAAGACACUUCCCUUUCUCUACAACGAAUGGUUGCAUAAUUACGUCCUAACCAAUCCAUACCCAGAAUCACAUCAAAGUCUUUCAUAUCUAUCAUAUACAAAUUAGCUUCUAAGGUUUUUCCCUCAAUAUUGAAUUUCAUUGACUUAGCUAACUUAUCUGUGUUCAAUGUCCUGCCUGAGGGGAGGCUAACUUCUAGUGUACUCUUUGACUUAUUACAAGUAAUACUAGAUUUAGCAAUGAAAGACGUCGAUACAAAAGAGUGAGUAGCUCCUGAAUCAAACAGUAUAUAAGCAGGUGUAUUGGCUACCAAUACAAUACCUGUUAUUACGUUUGAGUUCCCCUCUGCAUCUUUUUGAGUCAAUGUAAAAACUCGUGCUUUCUCCUUCUUGUUCUGAUCAUUGUUAUCAUCCUUCCUCUGAGCAAAUGUGGGACAAUCUCUAGCAAUAUGUCCUGAUUUGCCACACCGAAAAUAGGCAUUCUUCCCAUACAAGCAUUCACCACGAUAAGGCUUACCACACUUAGGGCAUAGGGCUACUGCAACUACCAUGGCCUUACUAGCACUAGAUCCGAUAUUAACUUUCUUAUUUUGCCAUUUGCCCUUUCCUUUGUCUUGACCAUUCCACUUUCUCUUUCCAAUUUGUCCUUUAUCCUGCUGGUUGUACAAUUGACGAUGUUGCUCUGCAUUAGCCUUUUGAUACCAGAUAGCGUGAGCUCGUUCCAGCAUCUCACGGUACGACGUGAAGCGAUGUGACAUAAGGAUCAUACUUAGGUCUGGGCUUAACCCUUGCUCGAACCUUCGAGUUUUCUUAAUUUUCGUGUCAACCAGAUGUGGAGCAUACUUUGAGAGUUGAUCGAACUUUCGCUCGUAAUUCGUUAGGGACAUAUUACCCUGCUUGAGUUGAAGGAAUUCGUUCCCCUUGAAAUCCCUUAGAGAUUGAGGAAAAUAUUUGUUCAUCACUUCCUCCUUGAAUUGUUCCCAAGUUAUUGCCAAUUGCUGCUCCGGAGUCCUAGUUCGGGACAUCGAAUCCCACCAGUGACUUGCAUCACCGAUAAACAUAAACCCGCACAUUGAACCCUUUAGGCAUCAGUGCAGUCUAUGAGCCGAAAAAUUCGUUCUAGCUUACAAAGUCAUUCCUCAACUACUAGUGGACCAGAUGCUCCAUCGAAGGUAGGGGGCUUAUGCCUUCGAAAUAACUCAACAACCGAGGCGUGAGUCGAAAGAGUAAUAGGAGCUGGUGGUGUAGGUGGAACGGGAUUUUGAUUCAGCCUGCCAAGAUAUUGAACCGCUUGCAAGAGAUCCCUUAUCAAGUUGUCCUGGUUUGCUCAAGAUAUUUUCCUUCUUCGGUGGAGCCUCAUCUUUGAAGGAGUCUUCUGUCUCAGGCCCUGACUCUAGGUCCAUCUCAACCUGUGGCUCAGGUUCAUGCUCAAGAUCAUUCUCUAAGUCCAACCCAAAGUCAUCCUCAUGCUCCCAUUCGGGAUCUUCCUCGGCAUCUGGUUCAAACUAAGGUUCAGGCUCAACCUCAUUAUUGGGCUCAAUUAGUAUCUCCGGUUGGGGUUCUAAACUCUCACUCCAUCUAUCUAGAAAGGUCUGACAAUAUAUACCAAAUUCAAUCGUAUUUGGGUGCUCUGGAUGGUUACCCUCUAGCAUCUCAUCCCUAACAAUGACUCCCAUGUUUCUCCCAUUGAGGUGGAAGUAAAUGUAUAAGGUUAUUCAUAGCCUCGAUAUGCGUGAUCUCCAGUCCCACAUCUACAUCUGUCAUACAUCUCUCGUAGAUAUCAUGUACGUGUUCAACAAGUGGACGAGACGAGUCAGUCACAUAGUUCUCAUAGGACUAGAUGAUGGCCCUAUAGUUCAACACUGCUAUACAAACUGUGGCCUUUCUAACAGUCCGAUAAGUUCUAGCCAUGUCUGUCACAUAAGUGUCCAAUUAUGUGUUAUCAUCAUUAGUGAUAUCUACUUAUACAUUAUACUCUUGAGGUUCUAAUAUGCUGGUCAAUCAUCAUUUCUUCACGUAUAUUUAAACAAAAUAUAAUGUACAUACCAUAUUUCAUUCAAAAUAUCAUAAGCAUUUUCAUAGAUUCAAGCUUAAAUGAUAAAAAAAAAAUCAUGCUUGAAAAAAUAAUGUGGAACAUAAUAUUUUAUUCCAUACCUUGGGUUCGUCGGAUGAGGUCAACUGAUAGACACAAGAUCCCAUGGAGUGCUUUAAAUGUUUCAUUUUUUUUCAUCUCAUAAAUAAAAUACACUAAGUUUACAGAAUCGACUAAACUCAUGCUCUGAUAUCACGCUGUAACGCCCCGACCCCAUGGGCGGAAACAUCACUCAAACCAUUGUACCUUAGCCGUAAAGUUAGUUCAAUAUAUUUUUAGUAGAAGGUAUAAAGAUUAAAUUUUUGAAUUUAAUUAAAAAAAUUCUUUUUUUUUAUUUAAACAAUAAUUCAAUUCUAAAAGAAAACAAUUUCAAAAUUUUUUUAGAAUGGGUUCCAUGCAUGUAACGACUAUUGACGUGAAAUUUUGGCAAAACUUAAAAAGUAAUGUUGCUGUUCCAGUUUUUUUGUCUCAAACAGUAAUUAUCAAAAUAAAUUUGUUUUCAUAGCUAUCGACCUUGAAACUUCAUCAAAUUUUAAUGUAAGGUAGUAAACUCCUUAUAAUAUGACAUACUCAAAAACUAGCUUCCCUCGACAUCAUAUGGGGUAUUAAAAUAUUUUUCAAAACUCAGCAACGACCUGGUUGGAAGGUAAACCGGUGCAGUUCACUUAAAAUGACAUAUAAAAUUUCACCGACGUCAAAACCACAUGAUUUCAAAUUUAUUCAGUAGCUAAUCCAUGAGAAUAUCAAAUCCAAUUGGUUUCAUCCAAAAAUUCCAAGUAACGAGUGAGUUAUGAAUUUUUGAAAACAAUGGUAGAAGCUGAAAAACGGAGACAGCACCCAGCACAGUUUACUUUAUUAGCUUGAUAUGAAAUAUAUUUUUUUAAGAGAAAAUGAGUUGAAAUUCGGAUUUGAAGAGGAGUGUAGUGAAAAAGUGACAUUCUACUUCUAUAACCUUUCUUUUUAAUGAAAAAUUAAGUGGGGGAGUUUUAUUAUCAUUAAAUUUAUUAAAUUUAACCUUUAACUAUGAAUUUGAAGAGUCUCUAAGUCAUAAAAAUAAUUCAUAUAAAAGUUUUAUAAAAAACAUCUAUAUGGUGAUUCGAACCUGGGUUGCCCAUAUGAAAUACCAUGUAGAUGAUCAUUGUGACAACCCAGUUAUUCAUUAAAUCUUUAUAAUCAAUUUUACUUAAACUUAAUCUCAUAAAUUACUGGGCUUUUAAUAAACUUAUGACUUGGGUUUUCGUAAUCUUACAUGGGUUGAGCUUCCAUAGGUCGUUUCUAAAAUGGGUUAGGCUCGUGGUGUUAGAUCAUCACAAAAUAUUAGCAUAAUUCCAUUUUAUUUUUCUCGACUACUACAGAUAUCGCCGAAGCUAGAACCAUUUUUCUAAGUUGCCAGAGAGAGAGAAGACAGGUGGAGAGAGAUAAUACAGGUGGGAGGAGAGACAAGAAAUAUUGAAGAGAGAAGGAGAUUGGAUAGAGAAUAAAUACGGGUGGGAGAGAUAAUACAGGUGGAAGGAGAGAGAAGAAGAUUGGAGAGAGAAUAAAUAAUAUUUAAUAUUUAAACAUGUAAAAUCUGAUUUUUGAAAUCUUAAAUUACUCAUAUGAUUUUUGAACCCUAAAUUUUAACUCUAGGAAUUUCUGUAAUUUCCACUUUUUUUUUUUUUUAAAGUUGUUCAAUCUUUUAAGCUAAUGCAAUGUAGUCCUUGAGUUCAUCAAUUGUGCAACUAAUGCCCUCUUCAAUUUCCAGAGUGUGAAAUAUUAUAUCCCAAAUUUCAUCCAACUACCAAUUUAUCCUUCAUCCUUUUUCACAUGUUUCAAACAAGUCAGUCGCUAAAAAUAAAAGAAAAUGUGAAACAAGUCAGUCGUUAAAAAUAAAAGAAAAUUAACCCAAGUUGGGUAGAAUUUAAUAAUUUGAGGAUAUAAAAAUUUAGUAAUAUGGUGAAAAUAAGUACAUAAACUUAUCAUCGGACAUGCUACAAUCUAUUCAAGUUAUGAAUGUUCCAUGAGAGGUAACUAUAUUUUGCGUAAAAAGUUCCGUCACCAUGCUAUAUAUCCCCAGCAAUUCAGCAGCUUGGCUAGGGACGGACCCAAGGGGGGUCCUGCAGAGUCGAAUCCCCAGAUUUUGAGUUUUACAUAUAUAUAUUUUUUAAUAAAUCUUGUUUGAUAUCAAUUGAAAUCUAAAUUUUAAUCUAAAUCAAAAUUAAUAAUUAAUUAUAAUAACAUAUUUUCAUGAAGUCCUUAACUUUUUAACUUUUAUGAAAAUUUACUAAAUAUUUGAUUUUAAUCCUUACCAAACAUGGGCAAAAUUUUAAUUCUUAAAUUUGAAUUUUCUUUUCUUCUUUUUUACUCUAUUUUACUCUCCUUCGCAAAUUUUACCAAAACCUUAGCUCUUUUAAUUUUAUCAGAAUUUGUGGUAAAUUUUUCUACAAAUUAUCACAUCUACCACAAAUUUUUACUUUUCAAUUAAUUAGAAUCUAAAUUUGCAUUUUUCUUCUAUCUUAUUUGUGUACGUAAAAUGUGUCUGAACUGAUUAUGUCCAUCUUAAUUUAUAUUUAAUAUAUUUUAUUUAUUUGAUUAAAUAUUGGUUAUAUGUUUUGCCUUUCAGUCACUUGAAUUGAUUAAAGUAUUAAAUACACUAUAAAUUUUUUAACCAUAAAUAUGAAUUUUCUUAUGAUGAGCAAAAUAUUAAUAAAAUGAUUGUUCGAAAUCAAAUGGAUGAAAGUUAUGAGCAAAAUAUUCAUGAUAAAAUAUUUUUUAAAUGCAAAUCUUAAUUUUCUUGGAUCAAGUAUAAAUCAUUCAAAAAUCUUCAAUUUGUACAGAGUUUAAUUAUGCCCCUAACUAACAAUUCAUGCGCUCGCCUCUGAGCUUGGCAGAUGCCAUUAAUGGUGUUGAUGAGAGAAGAUUACUCAAAACCAAUCCUAUGGACUCUCAACUUUCACAUAUCUUUGUCACAUUGAGUGCAACUCAACAUGAGUAGCAUUUUCUUGUAGCAAAUAUAGUCCGCAAGUUUGGACGUUCUCUUUUAUUUUAUCUCAUGACAACCGAUAUUGACUUUGACUUGUUAAAGUAGAAGCUUCAUUGUUUGAGAUAAUCCUCGCAAUGAACCAAAAAUAAUUUUUUUAUAAGCAACUAUUAACAUCGAUCAAAUGACCCGCUGUAUUAUAUCUGCUUUGUUUGUUCCUUAUUUUGGCUUUUCUUCAUUAACUAUUUGGAAUGACCUCACGCUGCUUGAGAAUUUUCCUUUGAUUGACCUCUGGAAAGGAAUAAUGGGGCUAGUAGUUGACAAAAAAAUGAAGUAUUUAUUGUAUAAUUGAGCAUCUGAUGAGGCCAUGAGACCCCACUCAGCAGUCUAGUAUUAAAACCUGGAGAAGAAAGGUAUAUUUGACAGGUUUGGCUUAUAUGCUAUUGUAUUUUCAUCACCAUGAAAAUGACCUGACAUAUAAUUACAUGUUCUGUAGUUCUCCAAAUUAAAUUUCUGAGGAAUAAUCUGCCUCAGGCUUCUGGUAAUUGAGAAUAUUUUUUACUUUUCAACAUGUGUUUUCAUUGGCUUUUAAGUUCAUUUCUAUAAUCACAAAUAUGUUGAAUGAAGCCUCUUAGAGGGGAUCUCACGUUUUUAGCUUUUUUUUCGUCAACCCUUGGAAAACAGGAAUAGAAAAAUCAAACCAUGUGGGCAUUUUGAGUACGAAUGUACGAUGUAAUGGAUAUGACUGAAUAGGUUUGAUCCUAAUUAAGUAAAAUGAGAGAUUCUUGACACUCUUAUCUUAGAAUAUUUUAGAGUAAGAACAGAAUGAAGCGCUACUCUGGGAGAUGACUUUGCAGGAUUCAAAAUUGGACUUCUGCAAUUUAUGUUGGUCAAAUGAGAAACUAUAAAAUAAAGAUAUUCAAUAGAAGAUGUUGAGAGGGAUGAAAAGGUUUGUAAUACUUUUCUACCUAUUAAUUAUUGACCUCGAAAAUGAAUUAAAAAUUUUCAAUCAUCUAAUCCGGAUUGUCCCUCCCCAAACUCACUGACCUUAUGCUUAAUCAAGAGCAAAAAGGGAAAUGACUAUUUGAAAGGAGGAUAUUCAGAUUUGCAUGCAUUUCUAUGUUUCAAUUAUGCCUAUUCGUAGAUUUCUAAUGAGGUCAUGUGGGUAAAUAAGUCAUUUUUGUUAGCUUUUCAUGUGGUAGUCCGUGAAUCGUAAACUUCUAACUGAAUUUGUUAGCUUUUCGUGUUUUAUUCACCAGUCCACAUAUUCUUUAUUUAUUAGUUGUGAAGUCAUUCUUUAUAUUAUUAUUCAUGUGCUUUGAUAAUGGUUUCUGCUGACAUGGAAUAGCUGGUGAAAUUAGUUGAAGUACAUUUGCUCAUUGCUAUGCUCCAGGUUGGUAAUAAAGCCUUGAGUUAAAAUGCUAGCCUACCUUAUUUUGAGCUCAUACAUGGUUCGGUUGACUUUGUAAACGUUUGCUGACAAAGGCAUCGGUUCACUACUAAUCCUUUGUAAAUUUUUAUUGAUAACAAAUAUUUCCCGAAGUUCGAGUCUAAUUAUAAUGACUUGGGCCCUAUAUCUGGUCAUUUUCUUGCGUGCUGCCACUUUGAAAGAGACUUAGUUCAUCUUAUCCCUCACGAUAUUUUUAUCACGUUCACCAAGAUUCAAAAUCAAGACAUUUGUCUUGUAAAAAAUUUAAGUUGAAUUCUAGUAUCAAUUGGACAACUUUUGUAAUGACCUAAGUCUCAUGACUAGUUGUUCUCUUACAUACUGUCCGUUUUGAGAGAAACUAAACUCAUUUUAUCUCUUACGAAUUUUUGUCGCAUCUCCCACAAUUUGAACCCAAGAUCUCUACCUUAUGAGAGACUUACUUUGAAAACGUUUGCUGACAAAGCAUUGGUUCGCUACUAAUCCUUUGGAAAUUUUUACUGAUAACAAAUAUUUCACGAAAUUCAAGUCUAAUUAUAAUCACUUGGGUCUUGUGCUUAGUCAUUUUCUUGUCUGCUGCCACUUUAAGAGAGAUUUAGUUCAUAUUAUCCUUCACGACCUUGUUCACCCGGAUUCAAACCUAAGGCAAUUGCCUUAUGAGAAAUUUAUGUUGAAUUCUGGUAUCAAUUAGACAACUUUUGUAAUGACCUAAGCCUCAUGGCCAGUCGUUCUCCUUUAGGGAGAAUCUGAACUCAUCUUAUCCCUUACUAUUUUUGGUCGGGUCCCACAAGAUUCGAAAUCAAGACCUCUAUUUUACGAGAGAUUUAAGUUGAAUUCUAAUACCAAUUAAACGACUUACCCAAUCAAUACCAGAAUUCAACUUAAGUCUUUCAUAAGGUAUCUUCUUAGGUUCAAAUCUAAGAGAACAUGACAGAAAGCCUUGAAGGGUAAGAUGGACUAAAGCAUUUCCAAAGUAGACAAUACGUAAGAAAGCAACCGUACACAAAGCUUGUGUUAUUAGACCUAAUCUCUUAUGCUAGAUUUAGGACUUUAUAGUUUAAUUUCUAUGUUAUGCGAACAGAAAAAUGUUUGAUUAGAUCUGAAUUUAUUUUGAUGGUAUUGGGCUUUUAAUAAUUAUUUGUGAUAAACGACUCAAAAAAAUUUUAAUGAGCUCUUGGCUUGACUUGUAAGGCUUAAUUGAUUUUGAAUGAAAACGAGAUUGUACAGUCCACAAUGAGUCCUCGAAAUUCGAACUUAACUAUUUAUGUUUAAGUAAUGAAUUGUGGACUUGAGGUAAGGAUUUUAAUACCGAACCAGGAUAUUCCGCUCAACAACGACAGCUUGCUUGUAACAUGAUAAGUGGACAUAUUAUGAUUGUAGCCAUUUUGUAUAUCAAUGGGGUUGUUGCAGGUUUGAAGGUAUGUGGACUGUGCUCCUUUAAUGCACAUCUUACUCAUGCAUGAUCUUAUCUGUAUGUUCGAAAUAAUUUUUUUUUUUUUUUAAUAUCUUGAAAUGGUUGUGGAACAAUACCUUUCUAUUUGCCUGUUGGCGUUCGAUAUUCCGACGGCUCCGUCAAGUGUUUGUGACCUGAAAAACGAAGGCGGGGCUUCCUCCCCCAUUUUACCUUCGGUGUGAAAAUUAGUUUUUUGACUUGCAAUUGAAAAUCAGAUGGCUAAAAAGAGUGAGAGAGAGAGAGAGCUUUACCUGUGUCACAUCCGGGGAAUUUAUAGAUAUUGGGAGCUGGAUAACCGCUGGGCGGUUGUGGUAUCACGUGUCCCACGUUGGCAUUCUCACUACCCCCACGUUCUGAGUGGGGGGUUUUUAUCUUCCCGCCUGGAGGUUGUACCUGUGUUAGCUGCCAUAGAAUCUAGUCAAUUUACUAGAGGUUUUAUGGCUAAGUGUUUGGGUUGGCAAUUCCGUACCCGUUGAAGGCCCCACGUAGUGGUAGAGCACCCCCGGGGGCAUUGGUAGAGCGCUCAUGGGGGGUCGACGGCCUUGCGUAGUGGUAGAGCGCUCCCCGGGGGUAUUGGUAGAGCGCCCCUGGGGGGGUCGACGGCCUUGCGUCGAAGUGUAGUGAUCCAUCUUGCUUGUACGUCGAGGGUGGCCCCUUCUACCAACCUAUAUCAUUAGCCCCCUAUCCCUUGUCGAUGUUUUUGGCGAGGGGUAGCAAUUUUCUUUAUCUGGGUUGGUUUAAUUUUUUUUUUAAUACAUAUAAAUGAUAAAUGAGUAGUUCAUAUUAGCAAGUCGAGCAAUGCAAUCGAAAUCAAGUAGCAAUUUUACUAUACACAUGGCACCCCAUCAUUGGUCCAAAUGUUGGAGGGAAUUUUCCCCCUAAAAAGUUUGAAUUCUUGUGUUUAUAAAAGGAGAUGAUUUUUACUUCAAAGAAUCACUUUCAUUUUUCCUCAACAUCCUAGACUUUCUUCCUUCUAAGGUAUUUUUAUCUCCUUUUUAAUCUCAAGUCUUUCUUUGAAUUUCUCUUCAUCUUUUUUGUUACCAUAUAUAAAACAAUUCUUUCUUCUUCUUCCACUGAGAGUAGCGAUGAGGGCUGAUCGACGCCGAAAAAAAUUCGACCGGCUGGUCGGACGACCGGUCUGAUGUGGCCGGUCGACCGACCAGCUCGUGCUAGUCGACCGACCAGCCAGGGGACUGGACCAGCCCCCCCGUCCCCCAUUCGAGCGGUCGAUCGGGAGUUUGACUGGUUGAAGUCCUUCGGCUUCUCUUCCUUCGUCUGACGGGUUUCCCUUUGAGCCUAAUAGCUAAACCUUUUGGAAUUUCAAGGAGAACGAUCUCGCCAAUCGGAUCUCGCUCGAUUUCUAAGUUUUGAUUUGGAAAUUUGGUAGAGCCAACAUGUCCCUUGGGAGAAUUUGAAAUAAAGGCCCGGGGGCGCUCUACCACUACGCGGGGGCCUUCAACAGGCAUGGAAUUGCCAAUCCAAACACUUAGCCAUAAAACCUCUAGUAAAUUGACUAGGUUCCAUGGCAGCUAAUACGGGUACAACCUCCAGGCGGGAAGAUAAAAACCCUCCACUCAGAAUUUAAGGGUAGUGGGAAUGCCAACGUGAGACACGUGACACCACAACCACCCAGUGGUUAUCAAGCUCCCAAUACUAUAAAUACCCUGGAUGUGACACAGGUAAAGCUCUCCCUUCCUCACUCUUUUUAGCCAUUUGAUUUCCAAUUGCACGUCGAAAAACUAAUUCUCACGCAGGAGGUAAAAUGGGGGAGGAAGCCCCACCGUCAUUUUUUAGGUCACAAACACUUGACGGAGCAGUCGAAAUAUCGAACGCCACCAGGCAGAUAGAAAGGUAUUGUUCCACAAUCAUUUCAUUGGCACCGUCUGUGGGAAAUCAUUUGAACUAAAAAGCUAUGUCGAGAAGACGAACAAGGAAUGAUACUCAUUUGGUUGGAAAUACGACGGAGACGGAGUCGGAGUUAGUUGCAAGGGGUCACGAGCCACCGCCGCGCAGAGUCAGUUCAGCGCUUUGGAGACUCAAAUGGCAACAAUGAUGGAGCUCUUGCAAAACCAGUCGCAGAGAGACACGGUCCCUCCAUUGAGUCCGACGGAAGCGAUGAACCAGCAAUCGCCUCAAGCGCCGCCCGCGGUUGUUCUAACCAUCCCUCUGUAGGGGAUGGGAGGUGCAGGGGCCCCAGUGGUCGUAGCUCAGCAACCCCCGCAAGCCAUGGUGGACUUGGAACAAAAGAUGGAAGAAAUCAUGGCCCAAAAGAUAGAUGAUGCACUGUCCAAGAGAAAGGAUAGACGGAGGCAGAUGGUGUUGGAGGAAGACCCGUUCGCCCCUGAGAUCAUGGCGGUCCCCUUGCCUAAAGGCUUCAAGCAACCCAUGACAGAAGCAUAUGACGGAGUCACAGAUCCGCUUGACCACCUGCGGACCUUUGUAGACUUGAUGAGAUUUUAUGCCGUCCCGGAUGCUGUGAUGUGCCGGUCCUUCCCCCCUCUCCCCCCACCCCACACUCAGGAUGGAGGCCAGGGACUGGGUAGCAACCUUGGCCCCACGAUCUAUCAAGAUAUUUGAUGAGCUCUCCAGGAGUUUUGUGGCUUACUUCCUAAGCAGCAAAAGGAAGACAGCCAUUAGGUUGAUGCAGGUCGUACAGGAGAAAGACGAGUCAUUACAGGAAUACUUGACUAGGUUUAGCCGGGUACUCUCGGCAUAAAAGACCUGUAAAUGUCCGCAGUGGUUACUAUCUUGAUGAACGGAAUGCGAAAUCGAGCCUUUAAAAUGUCACUCUCCAAAAGCCCCCUAGAGUCAAUGCAUGACCUAUUGAAGAAGGGAGAUAAGUAUGUCGAUGCGAAGGAAGCGGAGAAAGUGACCAAAAAUCUUAGGGACGGAUGGGAGACGGAAGCACAUAAGCGAAAAGCGUAUGAUGAGCGAAGGCACACUGAUAAGAAUAAGCCGAAGAAUGAAUGCAUGAACAAAGGUUAUUGCCCAAGACUGGUCGGUCAAGCAGAAGCGAGAGAAGGCCAAGGCACCCACCCCUUUGAACAUCCCACAUACGAAGUUAUAAUGGAGAUACAGCACAUGAAAGAGCUUGAAUGACCUAAACUGAUGCUGACUUCCUCCAGCAAGAGAAAUCAAAGUAAGUACUGCCAUUUUCACAAAAAUCACGGACACAAUACAGAAGAAUGUCUACAAUUGAAGGAAGAAAUCGAGCCCCAGCUAAGGCGGGGACUAUUGGCCAAGUAUGUAAAAAACGACAGGGGCAGACAAAGGCUGGAAGGAAUACCCCCACCAAGGGCAGGAGUGAUAAACAUGAUCACUAGGGGAGUAGCAUCAGGUGGCGACUCGAAUUCAGCUAGGAAGAGCUAUGGGCGUUCCGCAAGGGUCUACUCUAUCCAGAAAAAAGCAAGGUACAACCAGAGCAUUACUUUCGACAAAGAUGACUUGAUCAGUAUAACACAUCCCCACAAUGAUGCCUUAGUGAUAGUGGGCGAUAUAGCAGAUUUUGACGUAAAGAGGGUGCUUGUCGAUGGAGAAAGUGCAGCAAAUGUCCUCACCUGGGAUGUCUUCUUGGGUCUAAAAAUUCUCCCAGAGAAGCUGAAGAUGGUGACUACCCCUCUACAAGGCUUUGGAGGGGCAACAGUGAUACCGGAGGGAGUUGUAGAGCUCCCAGUUACGCUAGGCACAUACCCAGCGACAGUGGUGAUUGUGACUAAUUUCUUGGUUGUCAAGACCCCCAUGGCCUACAACGCCAUCUACGGCCGGCCAUUGCUAAAUGCAGUUGGCGCUGUCCCAUCGACCUACCAUCAAAUUAUGAAGUUCCCAACUAGCAAAGGAGUCGGGAGCAUGCGAGGGGACCAACACGCAUCAAGAAAAUGCUAUGUGGAUUGUAUACAGGCCAAAGGCUCACCACCAAUCAUGAUGCUGGAUGUGGAACUCCCAAGGGGGCAGAUCGAGCCGCUCGAUAUGAUUGAAAAAAUCUUUAUAGUCGAGGGAAGAGAAGGAAAAAUUGACCAAGUGUCUAGCCGGUAACUUGGAUGUGUUCGCUUGGGGCCCGGAGGACAUCCUAAGGAUUAGCCCGGCCGUCACGCAGCACCGCCUCGGUGUCCUACCGGGGACUAAGCCAGUGAAGCAGAAAAAAAAAUCUUGCCCUAGAGAGGCAGGUCGUAGCCAGAGCAGAAGUAGAAAAAUUGCUACAGGCAGGUUUCAUUCGAGAGGUGCAAUACCCCGAGUGGUUGGCAAACAUUGUACUUGUGAGGAAGUCAAAUGAAAAAUGGCGCAUGUGUGUAAAUUAUACUGGAUUGAACAAGGUAUGCCCAAAAGACUCAUACCCGCUCCCCAUGAUAUAUCACCUAGUAGACAAUACAUCGGGUCAUGAAAGACUCAACUUUCUGGAUGCAUUAUUCGGAUAUCAUCAGUAAUGACCGACCAACCUAUCAAGCAGAUCCUACAUUGACCACCCUUGUCACCGCCUGGCAGGGUCCUCAACACCUCGUCCAAAUCAAAGUCCAUAUCUGCAUGCACAUACCCAAAUAUAUUAGUUCCAAAAAGCACAAACAAGAAAUAUGUUCAAGUCAAAAAUAAUAAAAAUCGAUGUAAGCAGCCUACCAGUAGAACGACUCAUCCCCACUAUCAACAUGUUUCUCAUGGUCAGGACCGAUCCUAAUUUAGGUGCAAGAGGGGGUGUAUCAACCAACUGUUGAAUUCGAGCUUUUAAAGUAGAGGAAGCAUCUACUUGACUAUUAAAAAGGCGAGUUUGAGGGUACCGCCAAUUGGUAUUGAAAGGAAACCAACCUGCUGAAGGUCGGGCAAAGAAAAAUCGAGAUUUCCAACCACUAUUUGAAUUCCUAAACUUAGGAAACAACAAUGGAACCCUAGCGGUAAAAAAGACGAACGCAUUGCACUGAGCUAACACGUGCAUCUCAAAGACACACCUAAAGAGAUCUAUGGAGAGCGGAACUCGCCCCCUAAGGCAAACAUAAAAGAAGUAGAGUGCUUUUCUCCAAGCAUUGGGGUUUAUUUGACUAGGAGUAAUAUGAAACUCAUUGAAAAUCGACACAAAGAAAGAAUGGAUGAGUAAUCGGAAAGCACCAUCCAUGAUGUCCUUAUACACCGCUAUCUCGCGGAAGUCGGACCCGGGGAGCCUCUCUUUGGGCCCGGGGGCUCUAUAGAUGUAAUCGUCGACCCGAUCAUACCUAGCAAGACAUUUCUCUAACUUAAGCGGAGAAUUAUAAAAGCUAAAACCUUUUGGAAUUUCAAGGGGAACAAUCUCGCGCGCCGAAUCUCGCUCGAUUUUUAAGUUUUGAUUUGGAGAUUUGGUAGAGCCAACAUGUCCUUUGGGGAAAUUUGAAAUAAAGGCUUGAGAAUCAACUGAAAGGUUUUGGCUAUCAGGCUCAAAGGGAAACUCAUCGGACGAAGGAAGAGAAGCCAAAGGACUUCGACUGGUCAAACUCCCGACCGAUCGCCCGGAUGAGCUACGGGGGACUGGUCCAGCCCCUCGACUGGUCGCUCGACUAGUGUGUUGGUCGAUCGACCAACACCUGCUAAUCGAUUCUGGUCGACCGACCAGCCGAUUGGAUUUUUUUCAGCGUCGAUCAGCCCCUCAUCGCUUCUCUCAUUGGAAGAAGAAGAAAUAAUUAUUUUAUACAUGGCAAGAAAAAAGAUGAAGAGAAAUUCAAAGAAAGACUUGGAAUUAAAAAGGAGAGAAAAUUACCUUAGAAGGAAGAAAACCUAGGAUGUUGAGGAAAAAUGAAAGUGAUUCUUUGAAGUAAAAAUCACCUCCUUUUAUAAACACAAGAAUUCAAACUUUUUGGGGAGAAAAUUCCCUCCAACAUUGGGACCAUUAAUGGGGUGCCAUGUGUACAGUAAAAUUGCUACUCAAUUUCGAUUGCAUUGCUCUAUUUGCUAAUACGAAUUACUCAUUUAUCAUUUAUAUGUAUUUAAAAAAAAAAUUUAAACCAACCCAAAUAAAGAAAAUUGCUACCCCUCACCGAAAACAUCGACAAGGGAGAAGGGGGCUAAUGAUAUAGACGUACAAGCAAGAUGGAUCACUACACUUCGACGCAAGGCCGUCGACCCCCCUAGGGGCGCUCUACCAUUACCCCCGGGGAGCGCUCUACCACUAUGCAAAGCCGUCGACACCCUAUGAGUGCUCUACCAAUACCCUCGGAGGGCGCUCUACCAAUACCCCGGGGGCGCUCUACCACUACGCGAGACCUUCAACGGACACGAAAUUGCCAACCCAAACACUUAGUCAUAAAACCUCUAGUAAAUUGACUAAGUUCAAUGGCAGUUAACACGGGUACAACUUCCAGGCGAAAAGAUAAAAACCCCCCACUCAGAAAGUGGGGGUAGUGGGAAUGUCAACGUGGGACACAUGACACCAAAACCGUCCAGCGAUUAUCCAACUCCCAAUAUCUAUGAAUACCCCGGAUGUGACACAGGUAAAGCUCUCUCUAUCUCACUCUUUUUAGCCAUCUGAUUUCCAAUUGCAAGUUAAAAAACUAAUUCUCACGCCGGAGGUAAGACGGGGGAGGAAGCCCCGCCUUUGUUUUUCAAGUUACAAACACUUGACGGAACAGUCGAAAUAUCGAACGCCACCAGAUAGAUAGAAACCUAUUGUUCCACAACCAUUUCAUAUCUCUUUGGAUUUCAUGGUCGGGAUUGCUUUUUAUCUUGAUGGCCAGAUCAAUCCUAAUUUGAUCCAACAACUAGAAUCAUUUAACGAAAGUUAUAAAUGUUAUAUCUCUAGUGUUUGUUACAAUUUCUUACUUUGCUAAAAUUCCCUUCUUCAUUCUUUCUUCUCUGACCAUAUUGUGGCAGACGAUAAGGGGUUUUCGACAUUCCUCUUUGUUUUUUCCUCCAAAAAAUCCUUCGAAUCAUCUCUUAGGUGUGUGUUUAGUGUAUUCUUGCUCUUUCCUGGCAUAUUUUCCUAAUCUGUUCAUCGUUUGUUGCAUUCCGGUGAGUUUUUUUUAUCUUAGUAUAUUUGCGAAAUUUUUUCCAUAAAAUGUCUUCCCAAAACGAUUCUCAAAAUAGAUCCAUUAGUGCCUAAGCUACUACUUUUAGAUUUAGGGAUGAUGGAGUGAAUUCAUCAUCAUUUUCUGUAAAUGUGCUAUAUUUUGAAUUUGUACCUCAAUCAAUGGUUACACAUACUGGUAUGGAUAUAAAUAUGUGAAUCUUUGGGCAAAGUGAGAAGCCACACCUUAGUAACAAGCUCUGUGAACCUUAUGUAAACUCAAGGUAUCAAGUGGGAAUAAAGGCGGGGAGAUUGUUUAUGAUGCUUUGGAGAUAUUUCUAAUAUUAUGGAAAGGGAUAUAGUUGAGAUUAGAAACAAAUAUAAUAGUUUAGAAGAUAUCAAGCUAGUAUGUCCCAAACAGUUUUAGAUUGUGGAUUGCGCACCUCGCGACUGCAUUUUUAUUCACAAAAGUUCGAUGUAUAUAGGGCUUAGAAUUCCCUUUCACCAUUUCUUCCACAAGGUUCUUGGUUCUUUUAACAUUAUCCUCACCCAACUUACUCCAAAUAUGUGGGAUCAUUAGUUAAACCUUUCCUUUUGUCGACCACUACAAGGUUAGAGUGGGAGUUAUCCUAUGAUAUUUUAGGUCGCCAGGCACUCGAGUUUUUGGAUAUCAAGCUGUGGGAUUCAGAUACUAUAUAUGAGUUCUAUUGUUUCUGAAAUCGUAUCGAUUUUCCUUCACAAGUCCACCAUUUUCUUGGUUGAGGUCAAAGACAAACUAAAAACCCCAUCUUUAUGGAAGUAUCGAUGAGACCUUCAAGAAGUUCCCAAAUAUUUUUCCUCCACCUAACCGCUUCGACAAUCUCAGCACUUGUUUUGAGAUUUGGCACUUCUACCUAAGACUCAAUUAUCCUAAUGUCUUCUCUACCAGAACUCUGACAAAGCCCUCACCAGAGUUAUUAGCCAUUUUUAGAGAUGUUAUUUCAGUAGGAAAACAAAUGAAGAAAGUGACCAAAAUUCUAAAGAAUAUUACCUAAAAGGUGCUUUUAUUGUUCAUGCUUGACCAAAAAUUGCCUAAUCUCGUUGAAAAUCACACCAUUAUUAUUGAAAUUCUCUUUGUUAGUUGAAAGGAUUAGGAAUGCAAGAAAAGAAUUGAAGUGGGAAAAGGCCUUUUUUAUAGGCAGGGCCUCGUCCUCUUGACAAUUGGAUCAAUACAAGGUUGAUCCUGGAUGUCCACCAGUUAAUGCAUCUAAACCGUUGAAGCCAAAGGGUGCCAUUUUAAAAAUUCAACUAAGAAUUGAGAUCGGGGCGUGCACUUCAUGCACACAUAAAUACAUGCCGCCAUUUGGACCCAAUUAAAGCGAUUAAUAAAUUUUGGAAUAGGUUUUUUAUUUUUUAUUUUAUUUUUAUUUUUUUUGGAAGAAUGUAUGAUUAAAAAAAAAUAGUUUUUUGUUUAUAUGUAAUAUUAUUUUAUUGAAGAAUGUGUGGUGGAAAAGAAGAGAAAAAAAAAUGUAUUAUAAAUUUAAUGGGACUCAAACGGGGUUCAUGUGACCUCAAAAGACAUAAAGCCCCAACCAUUAUUGCUUUUCAUUACCUAUGGCUACACACACAUUGGGAAGACGCAAUGCCUCAACUGUCAUCAAUCGAGACACAAACAUCAUUGACACAUACCCCAAUCAAUGUCGUUUUAGAUCAGGUACAGAGACCCUUCACCUCAAAGUUUCAACUUCUAGGUAUCCCACAAGUCACAAUUGAGACACUUUUGCAAAUGGAACUUUGCCUCUACAACUAUGAUUCAUCCAUAUGAAGAGGCCUCAUCCUUGUGAAAUGCGACUUCACUUGUGAAAUUACGCUUCGCCUUUAUAAAGAGCCCUCAUCCCUCCGAUGUAAGACUUUGUUUUAUUACUCACCACCUUGAAACAUAGGCUUCUUCAACAAUUAAAGUACACACCUUAUACUCUAAUGCUAGCUCUAUCUCUACUUCACCCAUAUGAAGAGGCCUCAUCGUUUUGCAAUAGGACUUAACUAUGUGAUUAUGCAUCGCCUAUACGAAGAGGCCUCAUUUUUACAAAAUAAGACUUUGUUUUAGUACUCACCAACUCGGAACAUAGGCUUCGUCAACAAUCAAAGUACGUGCUGAUCAUUUGAUUUCUCGCAAGUGUAUGGUAUCAUGAACAAAUAAUAAAGUGAUGAGUGUGAUAUCGUUUCCACAAGAACUAUAUACUCAAUCUAAUGUCAAUCAAUUGUAACACUAAUCAAAUAGCCAAGUCUGUUUUUAUGAUUUACACUAAUUAAUCUAACUAAGCUAAAAUUGUAGUGAGCAAACUAUGAAGGUUUUGUAAAUUUAGAUCAUAUAGUUACUAAGAUCUUGAAUCCCCCUUAUUUAUCCAUUUAAAUGCAAUUUAAUAACAUGACAAUAUGUGCACAUCUUGUGAUCAAUAUUUCUAAGUUAAUUAAAAGCAUCUCUAUCUUCUCAUGUGAGCUUCCUAUAUCUCUAUGAAAAAUGUGAACAUGAAAGCAUGCAUUAAAAAUGUUAGAACAUCCAUAGAAACCAUGCGAAGUAUAAUGGUAUAUCUCCAUCCCUAUCAAAUUUUACAAUGAUUGUUAUAACUUUUUAUUUGUCCAAUUUCAUCUCUCAAGAAAAAUAAAAUUCACACAACAAUUCAAUAAGUAGCUAAUUAAUUGAAAAGCGUGAGUUUUGCAACAUUUUUUCAAGAAUAAACGCAUAUUGGACAUCAAAUUAUCGAUUUUAUAUUAAAAACUUCAAAAUAAGAGUCCAUCCAUAUCUUAGUAAUUGAAACACUAUCCUAGCAUUACAAACUUAUAAAAACCACAAUUAAUUGGUAAAACAUCACUUGGAUUUUGAUUAAUUGAAAAUGAAUAGGAUUAAUCUUGAAAUCUUAAAUUUCUUCAAUGAUUUCUUAAUGAAUUUCAGUUGUCCCUUCACUUCGUUGCCCAAAAACCAAGAUUUGAUCAUCAAUUAGUUGAAUUCUUACAAUUUCUUCUUGAUUUUUUCAAAAGUGUGAUGAUUUGACCUCUUUCUGAUGAAGUUAAUUGAUGGUUUUUGUAGUAUGAGAGGUGUUCUUCAAUACAUUAUGAUGUUUUGUAUUUAUAAUGCUCAAAAAUUGCAUUAAAAUCAGUGUUUGUGAAGAAUUCUAUUGCCAGCAGAAAAUUGUAUAAAAAGGUCAGCACAGUACAGUCGCACCAAUAUAUAUCUCGAAGGUGCGCCACUUGAGCAACUAACUCCCCAUUGAAUUUGACCCACGCCAAAUAUCCACUUCGCUCGUGUACUGUUCUAAAUUAUAGGGUCUUUCAAUUUGGUCCUAGAUUUCUGUAUAAUAUGCAUUUGAAUUCUUUUUUGUAUACUUUUCAUCCUUCAUUACAUCUAAUUAGAGCCAAACAUUCUGCAAUUUGGAUCUUAAGUCAAAACAACUAUUGAAAUUGUGCAAUUUGGUCCCAAUACUUUGGAUUUUGUCCAUUUUUGUCAAUUUUCGUUUAUUCUUUUAAUUUAACUUCCAAUAAUCGAGUUUCACCUAAUAAACAAAAUUACAAUUAAUUAGGCUAUGAUUCAUCAAAAGAACUAUUAAAUUACUUUUAGGUUCGAAUAAAUGUAUAAAAUAUACUUAUAACACCUCCAAACUUAAAAAAAUGUUUUUUUUUUCAAACAAAUUCAAAGUCAUAACCUAACUCAACAAACAAACAAAUAUGCAACAAAGUUUUGGUUAGAUAAUCUGCCGUUUUGUCUAGAAAUCAUUGUCUUAAAUCUAUAAACAGUUUAAAGAUCACAAUAUCAACUUCUCCAAUGCGAAAUUAAUGUGUCUGUGUGUAAAGAAUUAAGUGAUAUAUUAUAAAUUCGCAAGUUUUUCAAUUCCUCCCCCAAAUGGUCAAAUAUGUCCUUUCUCCACUUACAAGAUUUAUACACCCCCAAGCUUAUUCAUUUUCUAAUUUUUAUUUAUUUAUUUAUUUUUUUAUACUAACUCAUCACCCUCUAUCUUUAUAUCUCACAAAAUGCAAGCCAAUACUUCAACCAUAAAGAAUUCUCCAAAUUUUUUAUCCCUUUAAUCUCCAAAACUCAACUAAGCUAAUAACUAAUUGCUAAAAAUAUAGUUCUCUCAAGUAAAUAUUUGGGGUGUAAUCAACGCAUGUUGUACAUUUUCUAUUUUUUGCACCUGCUAUAUCAGAUUUGUUGUGUGUAUUCUUUCUGGGAUGUUCAAUAAUUGUCCUUAUUGGGAUUUUUUAGGGUAAUUUCAUAAUAAAGUAGCUUUUCCUUUUAUGCAAUUAUUAGUGCAAUGUUUCCCAUUGAACACUUUUUCUCAAAAACCAACCUUUAAUUUAAGUUUUUCACCUAAUUUUUAUCUGUUGGUCUUAGAUAAUUCGAACAAGAAUUUACGUACAAGAAAUUUUCAUUCAUAUCAAUAUUUUCUACAACAGUUCAAUGACCCCCCAAAGUAUACUAAAUUUUGUCUAAAGAUGUAUAUUUUAGUAAUUUUUUGAUUUAGCAUCUAAAUUAUACUAUUUCAACUGAUCAAGCAUAUGAAUCAACUCUUUACUUCGCAAUGCUAAACUUAAUUUAUGUGUGCAAAUAGUAUCAAAUUAACACAUAAUUACAAAUAUAUGCAUCAUUUUCAACAAGGUUACCUAACCCACACAAGUAAGCAAAUUUAAAUGAAAACAUUUUUAAAAUUUUUAUUUUUAUUUUUAUUUUUCAAUCCUUUCAAUUAUAAAGCAGUAAAAACACACUCACUCAAGAAUAAUAAAACUAAAAACUCAAUAUUUUUUCCACCCCAACUUAAAAUAGACAUUUUCCUCAAUAUCUCAAAGUAUAAUCUAGCACAUAAAAGGGCAGGGAAGAAAGGAAGACUAUACACUCCAAAGUUUUGUUGAUAUUUGAGGUAGCUUGUUUGAUCAAUUGAUUCCAUUUGUUAACUUGUUAAGUUUCCUUCCGAUUGAUAUCCCGAUACCUUUUAAAAGUGGAAGAAAAUACCAAUAUAAGAGUUAGGAAACAGUUUAAGAGUCAAUGCAUGACCUAUUGAAGAAGGGACAUAAGUAUGUUGAUGUGGAGGAAGCGGAGAAAGUGACCAAAAAUCUUAGGGACGGAUGGGAGACGGAAGCACAUAAGCGAAAAGCGUAUGAUGAGCGAAGGCACACUGAUAAGAAUAAGCCGAAGAAUGAAUGCAUGAACAAAGGUUAUUGCCCAAGACUGGUCGGUCAAGCAGAAGCGAGAGAAGGCCAAGGCACCCACCCCUUUGAACAUCCCACAUACGAAGUUAUAAUGGAGAUACAGCACAUGAAAGAGCUUGAAUGACCUAAACUGAUGCUGACUUCCUCCAGCAAGAGAAAUCAAAGUAAGUACUGCCAUUUUCACAAAAAUCACGGACACAAUACAGAAGAAUGUCUACAAUUGAAGGAAGAAAUCGAGCCCCAGCUAAGGCGGGGACUAUUGGCCAAGUAUGUAAAAAACGACAGGGGCAGACAAAGGCUGGAAGGAAUACCCCCACCAAGGGCAGGAGUGAUAAACAUGAUCACUAGGGGAGUAGCAUCAGGUGGCGACUCGAAUUCAGCUAGGAAGAGCUAUGGGCGUUCCGCAAGGGUCUACUCUAUCCAGAAAAAAGCAAGGUACAACCAAAGCAUUACUUUCGACAAAGAUGACUUGAUCAGUAUAACACAUCCCCACAAUGAUGCCUUAGUGAUAGUGGGCGAUAUAGCAGAUUUUGACGUAAAGAGGGUGCUUGUCGAUGGAGAAAGUGCAGCAAAUGUCCUCACCUGGGAUGUCUUCUUGGGUCUAAAAAUUCUCCCAGAGAAGCUGAAGAUGGUGACUACCCCUCUACAAGGCUUUGGAGGGGCAACAGUGAUACCGGAGGGAGUUGUAGAGCUCCCAGUUACGCUAGGCACAUACCCAGCGACAGUGGUGAUUGUGACUAAUUUCUUGGUUGUCAAGACCCCCAUGGCCUACAACGCCAUCUACGGCCGGCCAUUGCUAAAUGCAGUUGGCGCUGUCCCAUCGACCUACCAUCAAAUUAUGAAGUUCCCAACUAGCAAAGGAGUCGGGAGCAUGCGAGGGGACCAACACGCAUCAAGAAAAUGCUAUGUGGAUUGUAUACAGGCCAAAGGCUCACCACCAAUCAUGAUGCUGGAUGUGGAACUCCCAAGGGGGCAGAUCGAGCCGCUCGAUAUGAUUGAAAAAAUCUUUAUAGUCGAGGGAAGAGAAGGAAAAAUUGACCAAGUGUCUAGCCGGUAACUUGGAUGUGUUCGCUUGGGGCCCGGAGGACAUCCUAAGGAUUAGCCCGGCCGUCACGCAGCACCGCCUCGGUGUCCUACCGGGGACUAAGCCAGUGAAGCAGAAAAAAAAAUCUUGCCCUAGAGAGGCAGGUCGUAGCCAGAGCAGAAGUAGAAAAAUUGCUACAGGCAGGUUUCAUUCGAGAGGUGCAAUACCCCGAGUGGUUGGCAAACAUUGUACUUGUGAGGAAGUCAAAUGAAAAAUGGCGCAUGUGUGUAAAUUAUACUGGAUUGAACAAGGUAUGCCCAAAAGACUCAUACCCGCUCCCCAUGAUAUAUCACCUAGUAGACAAUACAUCGGGUCAUGAAAGACUCAACUUUCUGGAUGCAUUAUUCGGAUAUCAUCAGAUUUCAAUGGCCGAGUCCGACCAAGAGAAGACGUCAUUUAUCACAGACUUUUGUACGUACUGUUACACGGCCAUGCCUUUCGGUUUGAAAAAUGCCGGGGCAACUUAUCAGAGGAUGGUGAACGAAGUCUUUCACGGUUUGAUCGGAGAUGUUGUAGAGGCUUAUGUUGACGAUAUGAUGGUCAAGAGCGCCAAGGCUGAUGACCAUGUGGCCUGUUUGCAAAGAGUGUUUGACAUUGCUCGGCAAAAUAAAUUAAGGUUCAAUCCAAAAAAGUGUGUUUUUGGUACUGCAGGAGGAAAAUUCCUAGGCUUCAUGAUCACGCAAAGAGGCAUCGAAGUGAACCCGGACAAAAUUCAAGCGAUCCUAGAAAUGAAAAGCCCUACCAGUAGGAAGGAGGUCCAGAGGCUAACAGGGCGAGUAGCCGCUUUAAAUCGUUUUAUGAGCAGGGUGGCGGACAAAUGCUACCACUUUUUCAAGGCUAUAGGGGGUUCUUCCAACUUCGAGUGGACUCGGGAAUGUGAAGAGUCGCUUAAGAGCUUGAACCAGUCAUUACAGGAGCCCCCGAUCUUGGCCAGCCCAUGCCCCAGGGACGUGUUGUGUCUCUACUUGGCAGUCUCACCAAGGGCAGUCAGUGCCAUGCUAGUGAAAGAGUUCGUAAAGGCACAAAAAUCGAUCUAUUAUGUGAUCCAAGUAUUGAGGGGCGCAGAGGUAGGAUACAGCCUAGCAGAGCAGUUAGUGUUUGCGUUAAUUGUCGUGGUUAGGAAGCUGAGACCUUACUUUCAAUCUCACACGGUGCAAGUAAUGACCGACCAACCUAUCAAGCAGAUCCUACAUUGACCACCCUUGUCACCGCCUGGCAGGGUCCUCAACACCUCGUCCAAAUCAAAGUCCAUAUCUGCAUGUACAUACCCAAAUAUAUUAGUUCCAAAAAGCACAAACAAGAAAUAUGUUCAAGUCAAAAAUAAUAAAAAUCGAUGUAAGCAGCCUACCAGUAGAACGACUCAUCCCCACUAUCAACAUGUUUCUCAUGGUCAGGACCGAUCCUAAUUUAGGUGCAAGAGGGGGUGUAUCAACCAACUGUUGAAUUUGAGCUUUUAAAGUAGAGGAAGCAUCUACUUGACUAUUAAAAAGGCGAGUUUGAGGGUACCGCCAAUUGGUAUUGAAAGGAAACCAACCUGCUGAAGGUCGGGCAAAGAAAAAUCGAGAUUUCCAACCACUAUUUGAAUUCCUAAACUUAGGAAACAACAAUGGAACCCUAGCGGUAAAAAAGACGAACGCAUUGCACUGAGCUAACACGUGCAUCUCAAAGACACACCUAAAGAGAUCUAUGGAGAGCGGAACUCGCCCCCUAAGGCAAACAUAAAAGAAGUAGAGUGCUUUUCUCCAAGCAUUGGGGUUUAUUUGACUAGGAGUAAUAUGAAACUCAUUGAAAAUCGACACAAAGAAAGAAUGGAUGAGUAAUCGGAAAGCACCAUCCAUGAUGUCCUUAUACACCGCUAUCUCGCGGAAGUCGGACCCGGGGAGCCUCUCUUUGGGCCCGGGGGCUCUAUAGAUGUAAUCGUCGACCCGAUCAUACCUAGCAAGACAUUUCUCUAACUUAAGCGGAGAAUUAUAAAAGCUAAAACCUUUUGGAAUUUCAAGGGGAACAAUCUCGCGCGCCGAAUCUCGCUCGAUUUUUAAGUUUUGAUUUGGAGAUUUGGUAGAGCCAACAUGUCCUUUGGGGAAAUUUGAAAUAAAGGCUUGAGAAUCAACUGAAAGGUUUUGGCUAUCAGGCUCAAAGGGAAACUCAUCGGACGAAGGAAGAGAAGCCAAAGGACUUCGACUGGUCAAACUCCCGACCAAUCGCUCGGAUGAGCUACGGGGGACUGGUCCAGCCCCUCGACUGGUCGCUCGACUAGUGUGUUGGUCGAUCGACCAACACCUGCUAAUCGAUUCUGGUCGACCGACCAGCCGAUUGGAUUUUUUUCAGCGUCGAUCAGCCCCUCAUCGCUUCUCUCAUUGGAAGAAGAAGAAAUAAUUAUUUUAUACAUGGCAAGAAAAAAGAUGAAGAGAAAUUCAAAGAAAGACUUGGAAUUAAAAAGGAGAGAAAAUUACCUUAGAAGGAAGAAAACCUAGGAUGUUGAGGAAAAAUGAAAGUGAUUCUUUGAAGUAAAAAUCACCUCCUUUUAUAAACACAAGAAUUCAAACUUGGGGGGGGGGGGGGGGGGGGGAAUUCCCUCCAACAUUAGGACCAUUGAUGGGGUGCCAUGUGUACAGUAAAAUUGCUACUCAAUUUCGAUUGCAUUGCUCUAUUUGCUAAUACGAAUUACUCAUUUAUCAUUUAUAUGUAUUUAAAAAAAAAAUUUAAACCAACCCAAAUAAAGAAAAUUGCUACCCCUCACCGAAAACAUCGACAAGGGAGAAGGGGGCUAAUGAUAUAGACGUACAAGCAAGAUGGAUCACUACACUUCGACGCAAGGCCGUCGACCCCCCUAGGGGCGCUCUACCAUUACCCCCGGGGAGCGCUCUACCACUACACAAGGCCGACGACCUCCCCCUAGGGGCGCUCUACCAUUACCCCCGGGGAGCGCUCUACCACUAAGAAAAAGCCGUCGACCCACCAUGAGCGCUCUACCAAUAUCCCUGAGGGCGCUCUACCACUACGCGGGGCCUUCAACGGGCACGGAAUUGCCAACCCAAACACUUAGUCAUAAAACCUCUAGUAAAUUGACUAAGUUCAAUGGCAGUUAACACGGGUACAACUUCCAGGCGAAAAGAUAAAAACCCCCCACUCAGAAAGUGGGGGUAGUGGGAAUGUCAACGUGGGACACAUGACACCAAAACCGUCCAGCGAUUAUCCAACUCCCAAUAUCUAUGAAUACCCCGGAUGUGACACAGGUAAAGCUCUCUCUAUCUCACUCUUUUUAGCCAUCUGAUUUCCAAUUGCAAGUUAAAAAACUAAUUCUCACGCCGGAGGUAAGACGGGGGAGGAAGCCCCGCCUUUGUUUUUCAAGUUACAAACACUUGACGGAACAGUCGAAAUAUCGAACGCCACCAGAUAGAUAGAAACCUAUUGUUCCACAACCAUUUCAUAUCUCUUUGGAUUUCAUGGUCGGGAUUGCUUUUUAUCUUGAUGGCCAGAUCAAUCCUAAUUUGAUCCAACAACUAGAAUCAUUUAACGAAAGUUAUAAAUGUUAUAUCUCUAGUGUUUGUUACAAUUUCUUACUUUGCUAAAAUUCCCUUCUUCAUUCUUUCUUCUCUGACCAUAUUGUGGCAGACGAUAAGGGGUUUUCGACAUUCCUCUUUGUUUUUUCCUCCAAAAAAUCCUUCGAAUCAUCUCUUAGGUGUGUGUUUAGUGUAUUCUUGCUCUUUCCUGGCAUAUUUUCCUAAUCUGUUCAUCGUUUGUUGCAUUCCGGUGAGUUUUUUUUAUCUUAGUAUAUUUGCGAAAUUUUUUCCAUAAAAUGUCUUCCCAAAACGAUUCUCAAAAUAGAUCCAUUAGUGCCUAAGCUACUACUUUUAGAUUUAGGGAUGAUGGAGUGAAUUCAUCAUCAUUUUCUGUAAAUGUGCUAUAUUUUGAAUUUGUACCUCAAUCAAUGGUUACACAUACUGGUAUGGAUAUAAAUAUGUGAAUCUUUGGGCAAAGUGAGAAGCCACACCUUAGUAACAAGCUCUGUGAACCUUAUGUAAACUCAAGGUAUCAAGUGGGAAUAAAGGCGGGGAGAUUGUUUAUGAUGCUUUGGAGAUAUUUCUAAUAUUAUGGAAAGGGAUAUAGUUGAGAUUAGAAACAAAUAUAAUAGUUUAGAAGAUAUCAAGCUAGUAUGUCCCAAACAGUUUUAGAUUGUGGAUUGCGCACCUCGCGACUGCAUUUUUAUUCACAAAAGUUCGAUGUAUAUAGGGCUUAGAAUUCCCUUUCACCAUUUCUUCCACAAGGUUCUUGGUUCUUUUAACAUUAUCCUCACCCAACUUACUCCAAAUAUGUGGGAUCAUUAGUUAAACCUUUCCUUUUGUCGACCACUACAAGGUUAGAGUGGGAGUUAUCCUAUGAUAUUUUAGGUCGCCAGGCACUCGAGUUUUUGGAUAUCAAGCUGUGGGAUUCAGAUACUAUAUAUGAGUUCUAUUGUUUCUGAAAUCGUAUCGAUUUUCCUUCACAAGUCCACCAUUUUCUUGGUUGAGGUCAAAGACAAACUAAAAACCCCAUCUUUAUGGAAGUAUCGAUGAGACCUUCAAGAAGUUCCCAAAUAUUUUUCCUCCACCUAACCGCUUCGACAAUCUCAGCACUUGUUUUGAGAUUUGGCACUUCUACCUAAGACUCAAUUAUCCUAAUGUCUUCUCUACCAGAACUCUGACAAAGCCCUCACCAGAGUUAUUAGCCAUUUUUAGAGAUGUUAUUUCAGUAGGAAAACAAAUGAAGAAAGUGACCAAAAUUCUAAAGAAUAUUACCUAAAAGGUGCUUUUAUUGUUCAUGCUUGACCAAAAAUUGCCUAAUCUCGUUGAAAAUCACACCAUUAUUAUUGAAAUUCUCUUUGUUAGUUGAAAGGAUUAGGAAUGCAAGAAAAGAAUUGAAGUGGGAAAAGGCCUUUUUUAUAGGCAGGGCCUCGUCCUCUUGACAAUUGGAUCAAUACAAGGUUGAUCCUGGAUGUCCACCAGUUAAUGCAUCUAAACCGUUGAAGCCAAAGGGUGCCAUUUUAAAAAUUCAACUAAGAAUUGAGAUCGGGGCGUGCACUUCAUGCACACAUAAAUACAUGCCGCCAUUUGGACCCAAUUAAAGCGAUUAAUAAAUUUUGGAAUAGGUUUUUUAUUUUUUAUUUUAUUUUUAUUUUUUUUGGAAGAAUGUAUGAUUAAAAAAAAAUAGUUUUUUGUUUAUAUGUAAUAUUAUUUUAUUGAAGAAUGUGUGGUGGAAAAGAAGAGAAAAAAAAAUGUAUUAUAAAUUUAAUGGGACUCAAACGGGUUUCAUGUGACCUCAAAAGACAUAAAGCCCCAACCAUUAUUGCUUUUCAUUACCUAUGGCUACACACACAUUGGGAAGACUCAAUGCCUCAACUGUCAUCAAUCGAGACACAAACAUCAUUGACACAUACCCCAAUCAAUGUCGUUUUAGAUCAGGUACAGAGACCCUUCACCUCAAAGUUUCAACUUCUAGGUAUCCCACAAGUCACAAUUGAGACACUUUUGCAAAUGGAACUUUGCCUCUACAACUAUGAUUCAUCCAUAUGAAGAGGCCUUAUCCUUGUGAAAUGCGACUUCACUUGUGAAAUUACGCUUCGCCUUUAUAAAGAGCCCUCAUCCCUCCGAUGUAAGACUUUGUUUUAUUACUCACCACCUUGAAACAUAGGCUUCUUCAACAAUUAAAGUACACACCUUAUACUCUAAUGCUAGCUCUAUCUCUACUUCACCCAUAUGAAGAGGCCUCAUCGUUUUGCAAUAGGACUUAACUAUGUGAUUAUGCAUCGCCUAUACGAAGAGGCCUCAUUUUUACAAAAUAAGACUUUGUUUUAGUACUCACCAACUCGGAACAUAGGCUUCGUCAACAAUCAAAGUACGUGCUGAUCAUUUGAUUUCUCGCAAGUGUAUGGUAUCAUGAACAAAUAAUAAAGUGAUGAGUGUGAUAUCGUUUCCACAAGAACUAUAUACUCAAUCUAAUGUCAAUCAAUUGUAACACUAAUCAAAUAGCCAAGUCUGUUUUUAUGAUUUACACUAAUUAAUCUAACUAAGCUAAAAUUGUAGUGAGCAAACUAUGAAGGUUUUGUAAAUUUAGAUCAUAUAGUUACUAAGAUCUUGAAUCCCCCUUAUUUAUCCAUUUAAAUGCAAUUUAAUAACAUGACAAUAUGUGCACAUCUUGUGAUCAAUAUUUCUAAGUUAAUUAAAAGCAUCUCUAUCUUCUCAUGUGAGCUUCCUAUAUCUCUAUGAAAAAUGUGAACAUGAAAGCAUGCAUUAAAAAUGUUAGAACAUCCAUAGAAACCAUGCGAAGUAUAAUGGUAUAUCUCCAUCCCUAUCAAAUUUUACAAUGAUUGUUAUAACUUUUUAUUUGUCCAAUUUCAUCUCUCAAGAAAAAUAAAAUUCACACAACAAUUCAAUAAGUAGCUAAUUAAUUGAAAAGCGUGAGUUUUGCAACAUUUUUUCAAGAAUAAACGCAUAUUGGACAUCAAAUUAUCGAUUUUAUAUUAAAAACUUCAAAAUAAGAGUCCAUCCAUAUCUUAGUAAUUGAAACACUAUCCUAGCAUUACAAACUUAUAAAAACCACAAUUAAUUGGUAAAACAUCACUUGGAUUUUGAUUAAUUGAAAAUGAAUAGGAUUAAUCUUGAAAUCUUAAAUUUCUUCAAUGAUUUCUUAAUGAAUUUCAGUUGUCCCUUCACUUCGUUGCCCAAAAACCAAGAUUUGAUCAUCAAUUAGUUGAAUUCUUACAAUUUCUUCUUGAUUUUUUCAAAAGUGUGAUGAUUUGACCUCUUUCUGAUGAAGUUAAUUGAUGGUUUUUGUAGUAUGAGAGGUGUUCUUCAAUACAUUAUGAUGUUUUGUAUUUAUAAUGCUCAAAAAUUGCAUUAAAAUCAGUGUUUGUGAAGAAUUCUAUUGCCAGCAGAAAAUUGUAUAAAAAGGUCAGCACAGUACAGUCGCACCAAUAUAUAUCUCGAAGGUGCGCCACUUGAGCAACUAACUCCCCAUUGAAUUUGACCCACGCCAAAUAUCCACUUCGCUCGUGUACUGUUCUAAAUUAUAGGGUCUUUCAAUUUGGUCCUAGAUUUCUGUAUAAUAUGCAUUUGAAUUCUUUUUUGUAUACUUUUCAUCCUUCAUUACAUCUAAUUAGAGCCAAACAUUCUGCAAUUUGGAUCUUAAGUCAAAACAACUAUUGAAAUUGUGCAAUUUGGUCCCAAUACUUUGGAUUUUGUCCAUUUUUGUCAAUUUUCGUUUAUUCUUUUAAUUUAACUUCCAAUAAUCGAGUUUCACCUAAUAAACAAAAUUACAAUUAAUUAGGCUAUGAUUCAUCAAAAGAACUAUUAAAUUACUUUUAGGUUCGAAUAAAUGUAUAAAAUAUACUUAUAACACCUCCAAACUUAAAAAAAUGUUUUUUUUUUCAAACAAAUUCAAAGUCAUAACCUAACUCAACAAACAAACAAAUAUGCAACAAAGUUUUGGUUAGAUAAUCUGCCGUUUUGUCUAGAAAUCAUUGUCUUAAAUCUAUAAACAGUUUAAAGAUCACAAUAUCAACUUCUCCAAUGCGAAAUUAAUGUGUCUGUGUGUAAAGAAUUAAGUGAUAUAUUAUAAAUUCGCAAGUUUUUCAAUUCCUCCCCCAAAUGGUCAAAUAUGUCCUUUCUCCACUUACAAGAUUUAUACACCCCCAAGCUUAUUCAUUUUCUAAUUUUUAUUUAUUUAUUUAUUUUUUUAUACUAACUCAUCACCCUCUAUCUUUAUAUCUCACAAAAUGCAAGCCAAUACUUCAACCAUAAAGAAUUCUCCAAAUUUUUUAUCCCUUUAAUCUCCAAAACUCAACUAAGCUAAUAACUAAUUGCUAAAAAUAUAGUUCUCUCAAGUAAAUAUUUGGGGUGUAAUCAACGCAUGUUGUACAUUUUCUAUUUUUUGCACCUGCUAUAUCAGAUUUGUUGUGUGUAUUCUUUCUGGGAUGUUCAAUAAUUGUCCUUAUUGGGAUUUUUUAGGGUAAUUUCAUAAUAAAGUAGCUUUUCCUUUUAUGCAAUUAUUAGUGCAAUGUUUCCCAUUGAACACUUUUUCUCAAAAACCAACCUUUAAUUUAAGUUUUUCACCUAAUUUUUAUCUGUUGGUCUUAGAUAAUUCGAACAAGAAUUUACGUACAAGAAAUUUUCAUUCAUAUCAAUAUUUUCUACAACAGUUCAAUGACCCCCCAAAGUAUACUAAAUUUUGUCUAAAGAUGUAUAUUUUAGUAAUUUUUUGAUUUAGCAUCUAAAUUAUACUAUUUCAACUGAUCAAGCAUAUGAAUCAACUCUUUACUUCGCAAUGCUAAACUUAAUUUAUGUGUGCAAAUAGUAUCAAAUUAACACAUAAUUACAAAUAUAUGCAUCAUUUUCAACAAGGUUACCUAACCCACACAAGUAAGCAAAUUUAAAUGAAAACAUUUUUAAAAUUUUUAUUUUUAUUUUUAUUUUUCAAUCCUUUCAAUUAUAAAGCAGUAAAAACACACUCACUCAAGAAUAAUAAAACUAAAAACUCAAUAUUUUUUCCACCCCAACUUAAAAUAGACAUUUUCCUCAAUAUCUCAAAGUAUAAUCUAGCACAUAAAAGGGCAGGGAAGAAAGGAAGACUAUACACUCCAAAGUUUUGUUGAUAUUUGAGGUAGCUUGUUUGAUCAAUUGAUUCCAUUUGUUAACUUGUUAAGUUUCCUUCCGAUUGAUAUCCCGAUACCUUUUAAAAGUGGAAGAAAAUACCAAUAUAAGAGUUAGGAAACAGUUUAAAAGUUGCAAUGUUGUGUGUAUGACAAUCAAUUUUUUUGCUGCCCCUAAAGCCUAGAAAAUCGUGCCACAUGCUAUUUUUACUAUCUUUUUACUCAUAUAAAAAAAUUAUCUAUGCUUGAUGUAGACAUGAUGACCAUUUUAUUGAAACUAAAACAUGCAUAAAACUAAUGCAACAUAACUAACUAUAUGCAAUGCAAAUACAUAAAGUAUAUAAUAAUAAAUAAAAGGGUAAAAGAUUGGGUUGCCUUCCAAUAAACGCAUAAUUUAAAGCUUUUUAGUUAGACUUUGUAGAGAGCUAAUCAUGGUGGUUCAAUGUGGAUUUCAUUGGCAAAGCAUUGACUACAAUGUUCAACAUUUACCAACCCUUUUUCGUUUGUCCAAGCUUGAAGAGCUCAUUUUCAUACAUGAGGUUUCCAAAUGUUUCACCAACCUUCCUUUAUCAUUAUUAUUUUUUUUUUAUGUCAACACUUUAGAUGUGCUUUCACUUCUCCUCCUUAACCUAGGCUGCUAUUCUCUUCAUCAGAUGGUUUCUCAAUAGUGGUAUAAACUUGGAAUUUUUAUUAUUAACCAUCCACCCUCAAAUUCAACUCUCCUACUCCAAAGUAAAUAAUAGCUCGACUUGUGAAUGGUGAGAUCGACCCCAGAUAUGUAGUGAUGCAUCCCAAUAUUCUUCUAUGUCUAAGAUAAUAAAAUUUAUUGGGACUAUGAACAUGCCCACUUUAAUGAGUAUGUUCUCAACAACUCCUCGAGAAUAUUGGAGUGAUCUGUCAACCAGCUGAAGGAAGGUAAUUGUAUUCUCUAGCUCUUCCAAACCUAAUUUUCUAGGAACAAAAAAUGCGCAUUAAAUAUACACUUACUCCAAAAUCACAUAAACAACUGAAAGUAGAUUUAUUUCCUAUUGAGCAAGGUAUUUUAAGACUCUUUAGAUCUUUUAGUUUAGGAGGUAUUUGUUUUGCAAGAUAGCACCACACUCCUCAUUUUGCUCGAUGGUCUCAAAGUUAGUAAGCUUUCCAUUCUUUAAUUAACUUAUGGUACAAUCCAACCCUUUACAAUGCUUCCGAUAACUUACAAACAAGGAGCACUGAUUCUUGUAAAAUAUUAAGCUUUACAAGUCACAAAACGACCCACACUAUUGAGCUUUCACGAGACCUUAAUAUGACCCACACAAUGACUUACAAUAAGGAGCACCAAUCCUUGUACUAUUGAGCUUGCACAGGAUCACAAUACGACCCACAAGUUUAGAGCAAUGAUUUUACAAUGAAUUUUCUCUCUUAAUAAAUGAUACAGAUGAAUUAAGUAUUGAGAGAGGCUAAGACUUCAAUGAAUAAUAAUAAAUGAUAGUUCAAGUAUUAGAUGAAAAACUUUAAUGAAUGUAAUAAUUAAAGAUUCAAUAAAUCGAAGUUUUUCAAUGGGAAGCUGGAGAAGAAAUAAAUGUAGUUUACGUUUAAAAAUCUUCUAUAGAUAUAUUUCUCUUUUUAAUCAAUGAUUGUAAUAAAUUAAGUACCAAGAGAGAAAUAAGAAACAUUUAUGAAUAUGAUGAUUAUAUAAAUUUGAUUCAAUCAAUCAAAAUUGUAAAUAUAAAGAAGUAGAAGAAAAAUAUGCAAUCUAAAUUUAAAGAUCUUUUUAGAAAUAUAUCUCUCUUUUAUGAAUAAUAAAAAUAAGUUAAGUACAAAAAGAGAGAUGAAAAACUUUGAUCAUAUGAUUGAAGAAUUUGAAUCAAUCAAAGUUUUAGAUAUGAAGAAAUAAAUGAAAUGAAUGCAAAGGAAAGCUUAAAAAAUUCUCUCAAAAAAAUAUAUCACUUUAAUGCUCUUGAAAGUUUUGUGAAGAAUGGAAAGAGUGAGGAUAUUUAUAAAAUUUAGAACGCCUAAAAAAAUCUGUAAGUUCAGAUGACAUGUCCGAUCGACCAACUCUUAUCCAGAUGACCAAUAUAGCCCUUUGUAUAGUAAAAAUCAAAGGUUAGAACAAUCAAAUUUUGGACUGUUGGAAAUUUUAGAUCAACCGCCACUUUUGGCUAGUCAACCGCCCGGCUAUUUCAAUCUUUUUCCAUUUUGGUCUCGUUUGAUCAGAUUCAAAGGUUUUGAAAAAUAGGAAUUAUUGGAAAGUACUUUUAACUAGUUUUUUCAAGACAAAAUAUAUUUUUCAAGUUCAAAUAUCAUUUUAAGAGUAAUUUCUAUAUUUGAUCAAAACAUUGUAUAAAAAUAACUUGUAACGCACAAAAUUAAUUUUAAUGUAUAGAUUGAUUUUGAGCUUAAACAUUCAUUGCUUUUGAACAUUCAUUGCUAAAUAUUAAAUUAUUAGUACCUUUAUACUUGAUCUAAGAAAUUAAAUCUUUGAUCUUUUUUCAAAGUUUGGCUCAUAAAGUCUUGAAUGUGUGACUUCAACCUUAACCUCCUUUAUGAGUCCGAUUGUAAUAAUAACUUUUGAUCUUCUGAAAAUCAUUGAUCAAUUUUUCAUUGAAUUCUUUGAAGGCUAUAAUCAUUUUAAAUUCAGUUAUUAGUAAACUAGAUUAACUUAUUUGUUAUAAUCAAAACAUUAAGAUAAUCAACCAUAGGUCAACAAUUUUUCCCUUUUUGAUUAUGACAAACAAGAUGAUUUGCAAGGCAAGAUUGAAAAAUUGAUAAGGAUUAUAAAUCUUAAAUUUUGCAUAUAAUCCAUUUAUGCCUCCUAUCUUUUACAAACCAAUAGCCAUUUAUUCAAGCAUAUCAAUCUCAUUUUCAAAGCAAUUAUCACCACAUUUUCCCCAUUUUUAAUGCUUUUCAAAUCUUUUUCCAAUCUAUCUUACUCUUUUUCAAAUUUAUCUUAUUCAAUUUCUCCCUUUUGACAUAAGCAAAAACGUAGCAUAUAAGGGAGUAAGAGUGGAAUAUAAGAUGAAAACUUUAAAUCAAUCAUAGGAAAUAAUAAUAUUCUCCUCAAUUAAGCAAAAAAUGCCAAAAGCAUAAUUAAUUGGAUAGAGUUGAUAUAAAUUUCAACCACUAAUGUACAUCAAAUCAAUUAUGUAAGAGGAACAAUUUAGUCACAUACUUCAAAUUCAUUUAUAGUUCCCCAAUCCUCUUCGAAUACAUGAAAAUCUAUCAUGUGCUAGAGGUUUAGUGAGAAUAAUGGUCAAUUCGUUUUUCAUGUAGCUAAGUAAAUCAAUGUGGGUUUCCUUUGGAUACCAAAGACUUAAAGUUCUAGUCUUACUAAGAUAUCUAAAAAUUUGUUUCAAGCACAAUAUUUUAGGAAUGGAUUAAAAUCUAGCAUAUAAUUACAUACUAAACAUAAUAUCGAGGACUAGUUAUAGCUAAGUAAUGAAAGGUUUCAAUCAUAGCUCGCUAUUUUAUUAUGUCUAUGGAUGUACCUUGAUCAUCUUUGUCUAACUUAAUGAUGAACUCGUUGUAAUGAUCAUUGGCUUCAACUCCUCCAUUUCUUAGGUAGUCAUGGUUCACUUUGUUCCUUGAAAUAUUCUACUUCAUCUUGUUGUGUAGUUGUUUCUUCGUCAUGUUGAUCUUCAAAAUUUUUAGGUUCUUCCUUAUUUUGAUUUUUGAUGUUCAUUUGCACAUAAGGAAUCUCCAAACCUACAUCAUGAGCAAUACAUUUCUCUUGAUCAAAAGGAUUAGUUUUAUCAAAACUUGUAUCCAUGGUUUCUUUAACAACCAAAGUUCUUUUGUUGAAGACUCAAUAAGCUUUGCUCCUAGAUGAAUAGCCAAGAAAGUUUAUAAUAUAGAAUUUUGAAUAAUUUUUUUAUAAUAUUUCUUUUGUGUUUAAGAUAAAACAUUUUCAACCCAAAAACUUCGAAAUAAUCGAUAUUGGGAACUCUAUUUUCACUCUAUUUUCCAAAGCUCAUAUGGAGUUUUUGUUUUCUUUCAACUAACUAAUACUCUAUUCAUAAUAUGACAAGAGAGUUAAUGGCUUUCGGUCCAAAGUAUUGUAGUAAACCCUUUUGAUUUAUUAUAGUCUGAGUCAUUUCUUACAAUGUGUUAUUCUUCCUUUUUACUAUAUCAUUUUGUUGAGAAGUUAGAGUAGCCAAGAAAUUUUGUUUAGUCAUUACUUUUCCAGAAAUCAUCAAAUGCAAUAUUGUCAAUUUCUCUACCAUAAUUACUCCAAAUUAUAGUAAUAAUGUACCCUAUUUCAUUUUUGAACCUUUUUACAAAAAUGUUUAAAUCCAUUCAAAUCAUCAUCCUUAAGGUUCAAAAAUUUGACUCAAGUGAAUCUAGAAAAGUCAUCCACAAUGAUUGAAGAAUAAUAUUUACCACUUAAGCUCAUAGUUCUAGAUGAUCCAAAAGACACAUAUGGAGAAGUUAUAAAGACCUUGUAGUUGAUGAAUACUACUUUUAUUUGAAAGAGCUUUCACUUGUUUUCCAAAUUUAUAUGCAUUACAAAUUUUGUUUUUCUCAAAUUUCAAAUUUGACAAACCUUUAACAAAACAAGUUUUGAAAGUAAGUUCAUGCUAACAUAACCUAAUUCUCAAUGCCACAAUCAAGUCUCAUCUUUUAAACUUCAUAAACUUUUUUUUUUAAUUUUCAAACUCGAUGUUUAUGACAAACAUCCUUACUUCAACUUUCUAUAAGCAUCACCUCUUUUUAUGUGGUGUCCUUAAUAAGACACUUCGAAGAGUCAAAUUUGAUAUAAUAACAUUCAUCACACAGAUUGACUAAAACUAAGUAGAUUACAUUUAAGGUUAUCAACUAAAAGAACAUUUUCAAUAGAGGGAGAUAAAUGAUUAUCAAUAAUUAUAAUGCCGAUGAUUUUUCCUUUGUAUUAUCUCCAAAACUAUCACAAUCACCAUCCUUUAAUUUGAAGCUUGAUGACAAAACUUGAUCUCAAGUCGUGCUUUGAGCUUUACUAUUGGAAAACCAUUCUCUCUUUAUCUUCUUUGGUACUUACAAAAAUAAUUCAAUUUUUAUUUUUACGUACCUAAAUAGAUUUGUGUCCUUGGUUGUUAGUGUUUGUGGACUUCUAAAUCCAGUGUUUUGCUUUCAAAGUGCAAUCUCUUUUUAAUUGAACAAUUAAAAGAUUCGUGUCCAUUUUUAUUGCAAUAGCCACAUGUAACGAUUGGGAUAGGAAAAGUGGAAGCUUUAACAAAGAAAUUUUUUAGAGACUUUUGUUUUAAAAAUUGUUUGUAUCCAAUUCUUCCUUUCUCAAAAACACAUUUUCGUUCACCAAGCAUUAAAUCAAAAUUUCUCUAGCCUUAAGUAAAUUUGUGAAUAAUUUGAGUCAAAUCUAAAAUCUUUUCUUGUAAUGAGGACUCUCUUAGUUAAAGAAUCGUGACUUUUUCUUUUUCAAAAUCAUUUUGAGUUUUCAAAAGUUUCUUUACCUCAUUUUCCAACAAAGAAUUUUUCUUUUUGAGAAUAUAAUAAUUUAAAGCAAUUUUCUCAAAUUUUUCAAGGAUUUCAUCAUAAGAGGCAGAUAAUUCAUCAUAUAAACAAUUUUGAUUUGUAUUUACUUCAUUUUCAAUAGCCAUGAAGCACAUAUUGGCAAUUUCCUCUUAACUUUCAUCUUCUUCAUGGUCAUUAUCAUCAUUUUCAUCCCAUGUUUCUCAAAUUCUUCAAGAAUUUCAUCAUAAGAGGCAAAUAAUUCAUCAUAUGAACAAUUUUGAUUUGAAUCUACUUCAUUUUCAAUACCCAUGAAGGACAUGUUAGCAAUUUCCUCCUAACUUUCAUCUUCUUCUUGGUCGUCGUCAUCAUUUUCAUCCCAUGUUGAUUGGCGUGCUUUCUUUUUGAUAAAUCUCUUUUUAUUCGAACAUUUGGUUCUCUUGCGACCAGAUGAAUCACAGUUAUAGCAAACAAUUUUAUCACUCUUCUCUUUGCCCAUUUCAUCUUUCUUUUGAAAUUGUCCAUUGUUGCGUAGUUCUCUUCAAUUUUUGACAAAAAGAAUUAGGUUAUCAAGUUCUUCAUCAUUCACAUUUUCACUUGAAGUAACUUUAUCAAUUAUCGACUUUAAAGCAAAUUAGCACUUUUCCUCUUCUUUACUUGUCAUUUUUCUCCUUUGUCUUGGUACAAUUUAUCUCAUAUGUCAUCAAUGUUCCAUUGAGCUUUUCUAAUGGAUAUAUGUUGAUAUCUUUGGUAUUUUCUAUCAACAUUCUUAACGAGCUCCAAACUUUCAAGAGUGACCUAAACAUUUUACUUACAAGCUCACCAUUAGUAAAUUUACAACCAAAACCUUUAAAACCAUUAACAAUAUUGGUAAAGCAAGUAAUUAUAUCAACAAUGGGUUCAUUUGCUUCAUAAAGAAAUUUUCAAAUUUCUUAACCAAAGAUUUAUCUUGGUCUCUUUUACUUUGCUAGAGCCCAAGUGAGUAACUUCUAAAGCAUGCCAAAUAUCAAAAGCGAAAUCAUAUGUGCUAAUACGAUUAAAUUUAUUUCUUUCUAAAAUACAUUAAAGUAUAGUUUUUGCUCUAGCACUCAACAAUAAUUUUCUUUUCUCUUCAUCAUCAAACUCCUCUCUAGGUUUCGAAAUGAUUUAAUCUAGUUUACCAACCACUUUAAUAACCUUUUUAGGCAUGUAGUUCCCAAACACUAUAAUAUGUUGAUUGAAUAUAAAUCAUCAUUCUAGCUUUCCAACAAUUAUAAUGUGCACCAUUAAAGAAUGGGGGACGAUUUGUAGAAUACCGCUCAAGAUUUUGAAAAAAGUAGCCAGCCAUUACUCAAGACUGUUAAAAUCCUUAAAUUCAAAAUGAACACUUGCUCUUAUAUCAAUUGAAAGCCCAAGAAUAACUAACCAAAAGGUAGAUGAAUUGGUUUUUAAAACUUUUUCAAGGAACUAAUCUAAAUUUAUGCAAGACUAAAUAAAUUGAUUCAAAUAAUAAGCGCAAAUAUGAAAGCAAUAAUUAAAAGAGAAGAGGAGAUGCAAAUGAUAUAAUUGUGGAGGUUUGAUCUAAAGUAAUGAUCUGUAUCCUCUGUUGCCAAACUCUCCGACACAAGCAAGACAUUUUCACUAUAUUAAUUGACUUAUGGUGCAAUCUGACCCUGUACAACAUUUCUGGUGACUUACAAAUAAGAAGCACCAAACCUUAACAAUAUUGAGCUUUACGAGACCUCAAUAUGACCCGCAUUAUUGAGCUUUUACAGGAUGUCAAUAUGACCCACACGAUGACUUACAGCAAGAGCACCAAUCCUUACACUAUUGAGCUUUCAUGGAACUCAGUAUGUUCCACAAGUUUAUGGCAAUGAUUUUACAAUGAAAUUUCUCUAUUAAUAAAUGAUACAAAUGAAUUAAGUACUAAGAGAGACUAAUACUUCAAUGAAUAGCAAUAAAUGAUGUUCAACUAUUAGAUGAAAAAUUUUGACGAAUAUGAUAAUUAAAGAUUUAAUCAAUUAAAAUUUUUCAAUGAGAAGAAAAAGAAAAAAUAAAUGUAAUGUACGUUAAAAAUCAUCUCAAGAUAUCUCUCUAUUUAAUGAAUGAUUAUAAUAAAUUAAGCACCAAAAGAGAAAUGAAAAACUUUGAUGAAUAUGAUAUUUUAUAAAUUUCAUUCAAUCAAUCAAAAUUUUCAAUAUAAAGAAGUAGAAGAAAUAUAUGCAAUCUAAGUUUAAAGGUCUUCUUUGAAAUUUAUCUUACUUUAUGAAAUAGAAAUAAGUUAAGUACAAAGAGAGAUGAAAACUUUGAUAAUGAUGAUGAUUAAAGAGUUUGAAUCAAUCGAAGUUUUCGAUACGAAGAAAUAAAUGAAAUGAAUGCAAAGGAAAGCUCAAAAAAUUUUCUCAAAAAAUAUAUCAUUUUGAUUCUCUUAAAAUUUUUGUGAAGAAUGAAAAGAGUGAGGAUAUUCAUAGAGUUCAAAAUGCUUAAAAAAUUUGUAAGUUCAGAUGGCAUCUCUGAUCGACUGCCUCUUUCUGGAUGACCAAUAUAGCCAUUUAUAGUAAAAAUAAGAGGUUAGAAUGAUUAAAUUUUGAACUGUUAGAAAUUUUCGAUCAACCGCCACUUUUGGCCGGUCAACCUCCCUAAAGUUUUAGUCUUAUAAUGUUUUGGCCUUGUUUGAUCCAAUUCGAUGGUUUUGAAAAGCGUGAAAUUUUGGAAAGUAUCUUUAAUUAGUUUUUCAAGGUAAAAGAUAUUUUUCAAGUUCAAAAAUUAUUUUAAAAGUCACUUUUAUGUUUGAUCAAAACAUUCUAUCAAAAAUAUCUUUUAGUGAUAAAAAUUAUUUUUAAUGCAUAAAAGGAUUUUAAGCUUAAACAUUCAUUGCUAAAUAUAAAAGUAUUAGUAUCUUUACACUUGAUAUAAGAAAUCUAAUCUUUGAUCUAGCUUCGAAAUUUGGUUCUUAAGCUCUUGAAUGUGUGACUUUAAUUUUGAUCUUCUUCAAGAAUUCGAUUGUGAUAAUAGCUUUUGAUCUUCUAACAAUCAUUAAUCAAUUUUUCAUUAGAUGCUUCGAAGGCUAUAGUCACUUUAAAUUUAAUUGUUAGUAAACAAAAUUAACUUGGUCAACACAGUCAUCCUGGUAAUGUUGAUGGGAUGAUUUUUUUCAACCUAGAUUGUAUGUAUUGGAAUAGAAAUUUUCUACUGUCUCUAGAAAUUCUACAUUUAAUUCAAUUCUCAACUAGUCGAGUGAAAUGGCUUUCCACAUUACAAUCCGCAAUUUCAUGAUUUCCUUAUUAAUAAUUGCAUCUUGGCCGAACUGCUUGAACUGCAUUUAUUGAUCGUUUACCUUUUAUUCCAUCUACCUUUUGAGUAAAUGCUUCUAGCUCAAUUGAGAUUGUUGUCAAUGUGACGACCUUGUGUAUUCCAGCAAUUUUUUUCCGCUUGAUCUUUCUGCUGGCCACGUUGCAAGUGUAUGCUAGAUCCUCCAUUAUUUGAUAAACUUGAUCCAUUAUCCAUUUUGUAAUUGACCCAUUACAGGCAAAGUCAACUGUGAAGAUAUGGUUCACCUAACCCCACCACCUAAUGUUGUGAGUUGAUGGGAGUGAGGUUGACACAAUAAGGUCUUCCCUUCAUUUGGCAGAGGCAUGGUCUUCUUCCUACCCCUUCAUUAUGUACACUCUACCAUUUUAUAUUUGAAUAAGGGGGCAGCUCUCAGUCUCAGUAAUUCCCAGCAGCAGCAGCAGAAAGAGGAGCUCUCGGUCUCUUUCAUUCCAGCAGAAAGGUGGAGCUCUCGUUUUAGCAAAAGGGUGGUGGUUCUUCAUUGGUUUUCCCCUCUCUCUUUGGAAGGCAAUUGGCAUAGCAUGGAGGUUGUUCCUGAGCCUGAAAAAACACCCAUAAAAGGAAGAAGAAGCUGCUGAAACGAAGAAGAAGAAGCUGGACAGAUUUCUGAACAAAAAGGGUUGUAUUUUUCCAUUCCCGUUUUUCUUUGUUUUUGCCUUGAAUCUGGUUUUGUUGAUUGUUGGUUUGGUUGUUUGAACUCCUAGGAUCCCCAACA